AUGUUGGCCGCCUGGAUCGGGGUGCGCAGGCGCACGCCGUGGGCGUCCGGUGAGCUUGGGGCGUGCUCGCAGGGUUUACAGCCGGGGCGUUCUUCCAACCGGCUGUCGCUCCGCCCAGGUCCAGACCCCACCCAGCUGCCCGAAUUGCGCAAUCCGUAGCUGGGGAAGCGCUACGUGGAAACCUGUCUGAGUAGAUGCUGAGCCUAGAAAAGGAGAGGUAGAAGGCGGAGUGAAAAGUGGAGGGAUCGCGGGAGCCGCAGUCCUGGGCCAACACUUGCGGGGCGCUUGCUGCCGGGGUGAGCCUGUGUGUGUAAUCGGCUGAUGCUUAAUCCUGAGGGCGCGGACUCCAGAGCGCGACCGCCUGGGCUCACACCGUGCCUUUUUCUCCCUGGCUUUGAGACUUGAAUCUCCACAGGCCAAUUUGAAACGCAGGUGGUUGUCUCUCCAGUGAGCAGACGUGUUGACGAGUUCCCUCCUGGCCCUCUCCGAGUAAAAGUCCAAGUCCUUAGAACUGAGUGCGUCGGCCCGUCCUGCACCGCCACAGGGCUGUCUGUGCCCUUGCCAUCACUUCCCCUCCUGCAGCUCUUCGCUCAGACUCGGUGUCCUGAAAGCAGACACAGAAAUGGGAGCAGGAGUACAAAAUGCUGUUUUAGUAACUAUCAACUAGUGAAAAAUGAAGAGGAAGCAGAAUUUGGCGAGGAGGCCUGCAGACCGUGAUGCUGGUAUGUUUCCUGUGCAAGGAAGAAGGGAACGAGUGGAAUCGGGCAGAGGAAGAACUGAACUGUGAUAUGCAUCUGACGGAAUCUCGGCAACCCUGUGGGCAGCUCUGGAGUAAAGAUUGCCCAUGCAACAGGCACUGUUCGGACAGAGUUGCCCGACUCUGAUACCCAGAGCAUGCGCAGUUCCUCAGGGCUGUUCUGGAAGCCCUGUCAGCUAACUGCACUGGAGAGUUCACGUGGCACCCUGCAGAGUGAGGGCCUGUUCCUGUUAUGGCUCUGGCUAGAUACCCACUUACAUCACUGGGCAGAUACUUGGCAUCUUAAUCUGCAACAUCAGCAUUGAGAUAUACAGUGACUUCACAGCGAUCGCCAAGGACAAUGGGCACUAUUUUGAUGGGCAUUAUGUACAUCCGAAGUAGAUUUCUCCGCUUUGUAAUGCAGGGCAGGAACUGGAGCACUUCUUGUGUACUUGACUUUGCAACAAAGUUCGAUAUGGCAAGGAAGAGAUCUUAGAGCGGAUGGACUCUGGUUUCUCCAGUUAAAAUGAGGACAGAAAUAGAAGAGCAGCACUCAGCUUCGCCUCGAAGCCUGGGGAAGUAGCAAGUGCUCCGAGGCCCGAAUCCGCCCUGGGGCCAUUAAAUUGACUGUCUCUUGGACGACACUUAAUAUCCAGCAGAAGGCUUUCACUCCGAGCCAGAGCAAAAGUUUUUCUUUUCGGUGGUGUUGAACAUUGUCUCGAGAGCAGCUGGAGAAAUUGAGUCAAGUGAGCAAGAACUAUGUCUGGGUCUCACGGUUGGUCUGUGGCCAACUCCUGGCAGAAGCAAAUCUCCUGAGGGUUGAGCUAAAUGUCCCAGAUGAGGUUUGGGGUGCACAAAAUCCUCCUCCUACCCCCUCGCAGGAGACGCAUCCCAGCCAAUGGACAUCAUGACACACCCAGUCCAGCAAAUGGACAAGGUAUCACCACCCUGAGUCAACCAGGCUGCAUCUUCCACGAUUCUUUGCUGCAGGCCAACUUUUCACCUGAAAGAGUCAAUGUUCUUAAGGAGCAAUUGGAUUAAACAGGUUAAAGUCAGAGGCUCUGGGCCUCUGCAAACCUCACGGAGUCGGACACAAGGAGUUUCCCUGGCUGCGACGUGCCCCAAGCCCGAGGGGAAUGUAUAGGGAUUUCCUAGCUGGUCCCGAAAGCGUUCUGAUGUCCUUUCCCAUAGACAGGAGCUUGAUCAUCUCCGCCUUUCAACUCAGCUCAUCAGGGACUUGGGAAUCAAAGGAAAUCACGGAUGUAGGCCUUGGCCCCACACAGCCCAGAGCUGUAAGCUAAACACACCCACAAGAGACCGACAUGUGUCUGAGCAGGAAACCUCAGAGGAAUGCAUUAACAUCCCGGUCAGAGUUUCCAUCUGGCUGGUGUGCUCAGCGCAGAAGCCGCCGGUGCUGGCUGCCCCCUCCCUGCUGGCUCUGCCUGGUGCCAGUCCUGAGCCAGUGUGGGCGGAGGCGAAGCGUGUGUUGAUCAUCUCCCUGCCUGAGCAUGGUCUCGGGGCUCCCCAGGUCUGGGGCUCGGUGUUCCAGCCUCCUCUGUCCUUCGGGUGAUUUGCGGUGACAACCGUGCCCUGCGCUUGGCAUGCUAGGGUGAACCCUCUACAGACAAGCGAGAGUGAAGGCCUGGCGUGGAUCCUCUACCUGACGCCCUCCGCUACCUGUCUCUUCCGUUUUGGCAAUGCUGCUGCCAUACACUUCCUGAUCGGCUACUCUGGCACCAGCCCCUUUGGAAUCCCACUUUGCCGGGCACUGUUCCCUCUCCAGAAGCGACGACUACAGUUGAUUUUGUUUCUGUUGACAGCUCCCUCCUACCAGCUCAUGUCCUUCCUCUGCCCACGUGCGCAGUGUGCUCAUUACGGUCUUGCGUCGUAGUUGCAUAUGAACUCGUCUGUCUUCCCCGCGGGGCUGUGAGCUCCACGGGAGCAGCAAGCUUCUUAUUGGUGUCUCUUCUGGUCCCCAGCACCUAGUGCAGCACUCAGCACAACCUAGCCAUGUUUAACGUAGAGCCGAUGCAAGAAAGCGUAAAUGAAAAGAUAACAUCCCAUUCCCGCCGAAGGGAGCGAUCCCUCACUUGACAUUGCCAGCACACAUCCAUCUGCGCUCAUUUAACUGAAAGCUCAGUGCAGACCAACUCUGGGAGAAUUUUGUCACUUCUAGACAACAGCAGAGGUCUUUACAAAGACGUGGCUCGUUGCAAAAGAGGUAUUGUCACAGAUACACGUCCUUUUGGUUUGUUGGGCAAUUAUAUGUAAUUCACCAUUCUACCAACUAAUCAAGUCUUCAGUUGCCACAAGUAAAAAAAAAUUAUAUUUCAGGUGAAUCAAAGGGGAAAUAACACUUGAUUGGAGAAAAUGAGGUAGUACGUUGGCUCCUGGUGACUGUAAAUCUUGGAAUGAGUCGCAAAGUAUCUCUAAGCCUUAGUUUCCUCAUCUGGAAAUUGCGGUGGUUGAACUCAGUAAUCAUCAAGUUUCCUCCCAUGUUUAUGGCUCUAUUAACCUAUAAUUGUGUUUCGAAAGGCAAGGCUCAAAGCCUGCCCUUUCUGUCUUUUGGCCAAGUCACAGCCUCAGGGUUAAAGCCUUUGCCUGAGUUUUCACUUGUGGCCACCAGGUGGCAGGAGUGUGCCACAGUCGUUGGUCCCAAGCUCCAAGUGUGUGCAUCAGAAGCUGACUUAUCGAGGUAUUUGUCUGAUUUAGGAGGCCAGAGAGUGACUUUUUGUAAUAGCAAAACUUUUUGCUUGUGAAAACAUUCACUUUUAUGCAAAAUAGAAUCCUGAGAGUUAGCGAGGAUUAUAUUAAAAAUGCCCCAGGGACUUAACAAAGUGAACAAAUUGAGCGCGUUUCCUGCCCACAGGGAGCUUCCACUCUGCUGAGGGGCAUAAGUAAACCGAACACUCACAGGUUUGUAAAACUAAAGCUAUGAACGUGCGCUGAGAACUGGGAGUAGGUGUCAGAGUCCUGGAGGAGUGGUGACAAAAGGCUUGACUCACAACCUGGCCGCGUGUGCUCAGUUGAAUUUAAGUUAGUUAAAAUCGAGCACAAAUGUAAAUACUUAGCUUCGCAGUUGCACCCACCACAUAGCAAGUGCACAGGGGCCACGUGUGGUUGGUGGUCACCAUAUUGUACAGCACCAAUGACAGAACAGCUCUGUGGCCACCAGAAGCUCUACUGGGUACUGCUGAUCUAGAAUAGAGAUUCUGAACCUUGGCCCUAUGAACAGUUGGAGCCUGCUGCCUGCUUGUUGUCAGAGGCUGUUCUGUGCAUUGUACCAAGGUUAGUAGCAUUACUAGAUGCCAGUAGCUGUGGCAAGCAAGAUUAAAAGCAUAGUGUCUCCAAACAUUGCAAAAUGUCUCACAGGGGAGCCAAAAUUGCCCUCAGUUGGGAGCCACUGGACCUUCAGAUGGAAAUAAGUUGUUAUUAGAGUUCAGAGAGGUGAGGACUUUGAGGGAGUCAACUAAGGUUCUCCACCUAGAAUGGAGGAUGCAGGGAAUGCUUCCCCCAAAGAGUUGACUCCUUUGCCAUCUCUUGCAAGGCAAAAGCAAUGGCAUCAGCAAGACUCGACACCACUACUGGUCCCGCCUUUCAACCUGCUUUCUCCCUUCAGUGUCUAAGCCUGGUCCUGGCUGCUCCCGUGCUGGACUGAGACACCAUGGUGUCAACUCCCCUCUCCUUCGGUCUCCUUUUUAUUCUUCAGAUUACUGGUCUUGGGAUGUUGUUUAGGGAUCCCAUAUUCCGUCUUUCUUGUCCUGUUGAAGAUUCUUAUUGUAACAAAAAGAGCUAACUCAAACAAAAGGGACACCCACGGUUAGAAAGUCUUCAUGAAAUUCCAAGACAAGAGUCUAAGUUCUUUUAGGCUCCAUGGGAACUUGAACAAGGAGAUCAAUGCCAAAAAUCUACUCCAUCUUGAGUUCUUCAUGACCUCACCUAAGAUAUUUCUGCUGCCCUGGAAGGUAAGACCUGUUGUCUUACCUGACCCCUGAUCAAUUUCUUCCUGCCUUCAGUUGCAGGUGGUCUAUGAUGGCUACCCAGUUUUCCCCACAGUGGAGUAACUCUUGAUAGUCUUUCUGACUAACCUAUAUGACUUUUAGCUCAUCCUAAUUUAUGAUUGACCUAAUGUCACUUUUUUGAGUAAAGUCACGUAAGUCAAGAGCUCCUAGUUUGUAGGGAAGUUCUUUUUGGGGGCUAGAACCUCCAUUGGUUGCACAGUCUCACUGUGUCUACUCAACAGGAAUCCUUGGUAGCAGACCUAGGAAGGCUAGGUGCCCUGUACGCAGCUGGUCCAAUUUCUACUUCUAGGGUGACACUGAUUUCCUCUUUAUUUCCCAGCCAUCCUUAGCUCUGAGAUUGAUCUACAUUCCUCUAUAUUCUCUUCUUUAAUGAACAUUUUACUUUCUCCCAAAACCUAGUAUAGUGCAGAACCUAUCAGAUAGUGGAUACUUGGUGGAUGUUUGCUGGGUUGAAUCUCACUAGUUGAAGACCACCAGGAACACUCCUGCAGUCAAACAAGAGUAGGUUUAUUAUGUUUGCUACUGUAAGAAGACAAACUCUUGAUAAAAGAGCAUUGUAUGACUUAUUUAAAUAUUUUGGGGCAGGGUUGGCAUUAUGGCACAGUGGGUUAAGUCACAGCUUGCAAUGCCAGCAUUGCUUGGCCCAGAUCUGAUAAUUGCAAGCCAUUUGGAGAGUGAAUCAACACAUGAAAGAUAUCUCUCUUUCUCUCUCCUCUGUGUGUGUGUGUAUGUGUCUUUGCUUUUCAAAUAAAUCCAUAGAUAAAUAAAUAAAUAAUCUAACACAGCCAAAAAGCUGAGGGGCUUCGAUGCCAGUUGAGACGUCAGUAUUCCAUACUGGAGCACCUGGGUUCAAUACUAGCUCUGGCUCCGACUCUGCCUUCCUGCCAACGCAGACCCCGAGAGGCUGCCGCGAUGACUCCAGUGAUUGAGUUCCUGUCUCCCACAUGGGAAACCUGAAUUGAAUUCUCAGCUGCUAGCUUCGGCCCAGCUCAGUCCUGGCCACUGCAGGCAUUUGAAGAGCGGGUGAGCAGAUGGAGUGUGCGCGCUCUCUCUCUGCCUCUCAAAUAAAUAAAUAAAUAAACAGUUAAAAAUAAAAAAGAUUUGGGCUUCUGCUAGGCGAUUUUAAGGAAGAACUAGAAGAACGGGAGUCAGUUUUAUAUGAGAAGCUGUAGGGCCUGAGGGCGUUUGAGCCAUGUGCUGUCUCAGAAGUCCUUUUUCAGGAAGUAGAAGAACAGCAUGAGGCUGGGCAUGCCAUUGGUAAGGAAGCAGCAAUUUCUCAGAAGUCAUUUUUUAGCUCUAGUGUGGCCCUUAUGCUGUGGGGCUAGAAACAUUAUUUAUCACAGUAUGACCAUAGGGUCGACUUCCACUUUUUCAGUUAAAUGGAACAAAUAUCUGAAUGAAUGUUUUACCUCACCCAAAUGCAGAAGCAAUGGCAGUGGGUUACAGGUAAGAGUCAGGUGACAUUUGUAAACCCGCCAAAGUGGCCCCUCAUAUGUCUUUCCGAUGAUUGCUUUUUUAUUGACUUUGAAUAAAAUUGGCUUUUUUAUAUAAUGAUAUAACAUAUUCAUCCAAGGCUUCACCUACUGUGUUGAAAUAGAUGAUGAUAAAUAUUUUUGUUUUUUAGAAUAGUGUCUGCAAAUACUAGCUGAUAGAAUAAAAGAGGGAGAGAACGAUCCAACAUGGGAAGUGAGAUACACAGCAGACCCAUAGAAUAGCAGAUGUCCUAAACAGCACUCUGGCCUCAGAAUCAGCCCUUAAGGCAUGCGGAUCCAGCUGAAAAGCCCAUGAGAGUAUUUCAGGCAUGGAAAGCCAAGACGCUCUGGUGGGAAAAAAAAAAAAAAAAAAAAAAAAAGAUCUCCACAAGUGAGAUCCCAGUGGAAAGAACGGGUCAUCAAAGAAGGGAGUACCUUUCUCUGAAGGGAGGAGAGAACUUCCACUUUGACCAUGGCCUUGUCUAAAUAUGACCAGAGUUGGUGAACUCAGGGGGCUUCCAUAGCCCUGGCAGCUCAUGACAAGAGCCUAGGGUGAUUACUGAUGCCAUAAACAAGAGUGUCAAUUUGUUAAGUCAACAACAGGAGUCACUGUGCACUUACUCCUCAUGUAGGAUCUCUGUCCUUAGUGUCUGUACAUUGAGAUUUAAUGCUAUAACUAGUACUCAAACAGUAUUUUUCACUUUAUGUUUCUGUGUGGGAGCAAACUGUUGAAAUCUUUACUUAAUGUAUGCUAAACUGAUCUUCUGUAUAUAAAGAGAAUCGAAAAUGAAAAAAAAAAUUUUGUUUUUUUGUGUGUGUGUUUUCACCCCUUUUUAUUUUGAUUGUUCCUUCAAGGAGCUGAUUCUGUAGUUGGUCGAUGUUCCUCUUCAAAUGUGGUCCUACACAUUCCAGAUACAGUCAGCGUGGUGCUCAGAACAACAGGCCAUUACUUCCAGAGUAGGCACCAUCAAACUCAUGAGACAUACCUUUUUUUCUUUUUCAGGAGCCGUGUAUUCAUAACAACCCUUUUUAAGAACACUCUGACCUGGUCUUUGAUUUGUGGAAUCUGAGUAGAAAGUUCAUUUAUCUUUAUUCAUCCCUUGCUCAUUUUUAUUUAACUUUCAAGAAGGUUGGAAAAAAUACUUACCUGAGUUGUUACUCUUCAGACUUUAAGUCAGUUGCAAUUUGCCUAACAUCUUGUUUCUGUAAUUCACUUACAACGCUGACCAAAAGUUGACUAGGACGCAAGAAAGGCCACAAUCACUCCAGGAAUUCAUCAGGAAACACCUUUGUCAUGGUUGUUAGAUGGCUUUCAGUAUUAUUAACCCACCCAUGUAUCACUGCUGUGUGUGCAGAGUGGAAGGGGAGUUGAUUUUUCUAGACGGCCGUGAGCCUGGUUACUUCAUUCCUCAGGGCUGAGCACUUCCUACAGAUUGUACACUUGGACAGCAGUGUCGGCUCCUCUGAGCCUCAAACUCCCUUUUGCAAAAGGGAGUGAGUAAAUGCACACCUCAAAUGGCUCUUGUGAGGACUGAAUGAGCAACACCUUAACCACGUGCAUUUUCAGAAGCUUACGACAGCUUGGAGCACUGGGAAAUAGGGGAGAGUUGGGGGAGGUGGGAGCAGGAGGAUCAGUGAAGUCUGUAAGGAGUGUUCCAAGCAUGAGGUCAUCAGCGUUUAACGAAGGGUGGGGUGGCUUUGAAAACGCACAGGGAGGUGGUGUUGCUGAAAGUAUUACGAAAGGAAAAUUCAGCAGGUCCCCAUGAACCACGAAUGAAUAUGAGCAGAAAUGGGGAAAAGAGAGCUUUGGGGUCUGGGUAAUUUGGAUGGCGUCGCCAUGGCUAGAAAUUAAGCUGCUCUGGGGAGAUGUUUAGGGAAACAGUUGGACGGUGGAGAGAAUACUCGCUGGAACGUUCUGGGCAGAAAUAGUGAUAAGGAUUGUCUUUUUGGUUUGAGUUCUGGAUAAUUUCAUGUUCAUUUGUUUGUUAAGGUGCUGUUAGUCCUUACAAGAGCCAUUUGAGGUGUGAUGGCAAAAGGGUAUAUUGCGAAAGGGAAUUUGAGACUCACAGGAGCUAACAGUUUUGUCCAAGUGUACAUCUUGUUGGAAAUGCUCAGUUCUGGGAGUCUGGAAGUAACCAGAUAUGUGGCCAUCCUAAAAGAACAUUAACUCUUGCAUAACAGUAAAUAGAUUUUAUAAUCAACUUAAGCUUAGAGAAGACAGAAGACUGCAUUUAAUUCAGUGUAGCAGAAGUGAGUAGAAGAAUGGCCAGGCUUCUAAGAGGAUGAGAUGGGUAAAAAUGAAGGUCAGGUUCCAAGGAGAAGGAUACUGUAGAUGGAGAGCAAUAUUGAACUUCAGAAUGCCCAGGAAGCAGCAACACAGUUUAUUUCUCUGGGAGAAAUGGUGAUGUGUGGACGGGCAGGAGAGGUGUCUGGAGAGGUAGACAAGACCCAGAUGGUGGAAGUCCUUUAUGUUGGGAUUGAGUUUGGACUUCAUGUUGUUUGUAGAUGGGAGACAGUGACUAUUUUAAACAGGAGGAUCAAUUUAACAGAAUUGAACUUGCAUGGUGGAAAAAUAACUCUGGCCACAAGGUGAAGCCUUGAUUAGAAGGGGGAAGAUGGGAAGACCUGCAGAGUUCCAGUGUUGAUAGUAGUCUGAUCCAGGCAGAUGCAAGCCUGAUUUGUGAUAGGGGAUAAGGGAGAGAGGAUGUGGAAGAUAUGGGGACUGUUUAGACAUGGAGAUUUGGAGAACAAACUGUAGUGGAGGAUGCUGGGCGGUGACCUCCAUCGUUGGUGUAGACAGUGAAGUCAUCAGCAAAGCCAAGGACACUUGAAAUGUGAAGAGUGUGGGCGAGGUGAGUGUGGAUAAAGAUGAGAGUCCAGUUUGGGAUGUGCCAUUUAUGAAGUGGUUUUGUGACAGUUCCAGAAAAUUGUCUAGUAGACAACAAAAUGGAGCUUAAAAGGAAGCAAAAUUUGGACUGUAGAUGAAAUGCCCUUAGAGGCAGUGUGAGUGCCUGGUAGAGUUGAUUCUGUUUAUUCAUGGUAGUUACACGCCCCAAAGUCAUGACAAAUGCAGAAUUGGAGAAUGCGGAGGCCUUGCUACCAGGGGAACUUGAAGGUGAUAUCCCUAUAGGCAUCUGACCACCACAUUUUAAUCAGAUACUCAGCAGUUAUUUUAUGUGCAUCUUUCUUUAAAUGUAUCUCAUUUAGUUUAUAUUCUGGAAUCUUUACACUGAGCUCGUGGCUAACAGCGCCUUAAAUCACACCCAAAUGAAGCUUUUGCCAUACCUGUGUUUUCUCCAUAAGGUGAAUCACAACCAGUUUGCACUGAGGAACACUACCCAGCACUUUGGAACUGUGUUUGGGGCCCAUUUUAAACACUGAAAUCACCAAGAAAGUGCACAAAUAUCUCCAAAGAAAGGCACUCAAUAGAUGAGGGGAAAAAAUACUUGUUUCCCUAUAAACACUAGAAUAAGAAGGCAGAGUGUAGCUUGCCCAGCUCUGUUGGGAAUGUGUGCUUUGGGGGAACUAACUCUCCCAGCGUUGUGUGCACAUAUGUGAGUGACAAGCUCCCAUGGGUAUUGACUUGGGAGUUAUAAAUAAAUUUUGGUGAGUAUGUAAAUUCUUGAAUAAUGAGGAACCAAGUGUUCUUAAACCCUGAUGUGUUGACAUCACCUUGAGAAAGGACUAAGAGAGGGAAAGGGGCUAGAAUAUGCUCUGAGACACACUCACAUUUGAUAGUGAGGCAGCGGAAAGAUGCGUGGGAUGGAUACUGAGAAAGAGCAGUGGGAGAAUGGGGUUUAAACAUGUGCUUGUGGGGCACAGAGUCUCCAAAGCAGCGUGUACUCAGGGGUAGCCAUCACAGCCAAGAGGUUCAGCAAGAUGAAGACAGAAGGGAGCCCACUAGAUUUUACAGACAGGAGGAGAGCUUGGGAAGAACACUGCACAUGGGCAUGAGGGGGCAGAAGCCAAAUACCAAAAGCUGAAUAAUGAAGAAGUAGUGGUUCAAGCAUAGACUAUUCUAUUGGUAUGCUUAGAUGUAAAGAGAAGGGAAAGAUGGUGCCGUGGCUUGAAAGAACCAUAAGGGAAAUUGGUUUUACUGACAGAAGUGUAGAGUUAAGAUAUUAGAAAUAUCAGCGAUUUGUUUAUGUCUAACUGCCAUUGAGAGUAGACAGCAGAGAGGCAGAGGAAGGAGACACAGAAAACUAGGGCACAGCAGAUGGAGGUGAGGUCCACUGGCGGGCACAGCCUAGGGGAUCAGCCUCUGGCAGCUCAGAAAGGAGGCAGGAAGGGAGAGGUGGGAAUGGGAACACAUUUUAGGUCUUUGAACAUGCCAGAUUCAUCCAAGGGCCUUUGCAAAGGCUGUUCCCUCUGCCCAGAAUGCUCUUCCCCACAACUUUUCAUGGUUUUAUGUGUGUAUUCUUGUAUGACUGGCUCCUUCUUAUUGUUCAAGCCUCAGCUCAAAUGUCAGGCUGGCCCUGACCAUCCAAUUUAAAGUAGUCCGUGUACACACUCAUCUCAAAUUUCAUCUGUUUACUUGUUCAUUUCCCUUAUCACUCUACUGUGAACUAACUCCAUGAGGGUUGGGAGGUUUGUCUGUCUUGUUCACAGAUGCACACCCAAUGCCUGACAUGUGUUUCCUGACCAAAUGAACACACAGAGGGGGCAUGGAGGGGGUGUCCUUUGGGAGAGGAAGGCCAUGUCUUGUUUCUCUUAGUACUGUGGUGCCUGGCAGAGAACAGGUGCUCCAUGUCGAAUGCAAAACUGAAUGAUAGUUCUUUUCCCAGGUGUAUCCCCAAGAUAACUGAAAAGAGGUGUUCCAACAAAGACUUAGACAAAAAUGUUCAUGGAAACAUUAUUCAUAGUGGACCAGAGGCAGAAAUGGCUCAAAUGUCCAUCUACUGCUGAAUGGAUACACAAACAAAAUGUGAUUUAUCCAAACAAUGGAAUAUUAUCCAGCCAUAAACACAAAUAAAGUUCUGACACAUACCACAAUAUGGCUGAUCCUUGAAAACAGUGUGCUAAAUGAAAGAAGCCAAGCACAAGAAUCCAUAAUGUGAAAUCCACAGAGCAUAGUAGCUGCCAAGGGUUGGAGAGAGAGCGAGUAGAGAGUGAUUGUUUCAGCAGUAUGGAUUUCUUUCAGGGAGGGGGAGGUCAAAAUAUUUUGAAAUUAAAUAAUGGCGAUAGUUGUGCAGCAUCAUUAAUGUACCAGAAGCAACUGAAUUGCGUACUUUAAAAUGGUGCAUUUUGUGUUAUAUAAAUAUUGCCACAACUGAAAAUAUAGAAGGGAACUGCAUAUAGUGCAUAACUGAACUUUCAAUCACACAGGACUGGCAUAUACCACUCAUUUACAGACUGAGAACCUCCUAAAGCGGCUCGGAGGCAUGAGUCCACCAAACACACUUAGUACCGGAAGAACCAAGUCUCUACUCAUGACACUGUUGGAAGGUUAUUCUUUCACAUUGUGAGCUCUCAGCUCUUGCAGGAAAACAACUUGAUUCCCACGUGGACCUUUGGGGCAACUUCUACUGCAUGAAAAGCAAUUCUGUUCUGGGUAGUUGCAAAUGCUUUUACUGAAGAUAGGGAUGAAUGCUGCUACUGAAUGAAUGCUACUACUAAGGAGACGGGAUGAAACCAUCUCCAACUCUCCAUCUUCAACGCAUGGCUCACAACAGCUGGCACUUCUAAGGGGCCAUCCUUCCAUGGCAUUUGGGGAGAGGAAGCCCAGCAUGGGCCUCUAGGGGACAAAACAGCCACAACAGAGAGCCUGGCAGCUGCAGGGAGCUCAGCAGGCUCUGGGGGCAGAUGCUGGGGCAGACAGGUCUCCAGGAGCCCCAAGAGGCUGCAAGAGUGAUGCCUCUUAUUUCUAGCUGUGAAUAGACCUCUAGUGGCAGCCGCGAAAAUUAACCCACUUUCUCCAGAGCAGAGGCGGUGCUUCCCAGGAAGGCUGUGAUUCUUUUCUCUCCAAGCACUAUGGGCCGCAGCCAUUCCAACAGAAGAAGAAUAAAUCAUCCCCCGCAGUGUUCACCCUCCCGCAGGACUGGCUUGCCAAAUGUACUCUUUACAAUCUCUGAGCAAAUUUUCUUCAUUCCCUAUCUCCCAUGUGGGCUGAACUGUGGACACGGAAGUUGUCCUAUGUUGAAAGUCCUGAGCCUCCACUCCUAUUGGGCACUGGGGAGAAGACUCAAAGGCAGGGUCUUUUACACGAAGGGAGCCUGGCUGUCCGGCAUACUUGGCCCCUGACCAAAGAAAAGAAUGUCUGUGAAUGGUGAUGUUUGAGUAAGAAUUAAGUUCAAGCUUCAGCAGGUGUCUUUUCUACUUGGUUAUUGGACAGUAAUUCUCCAGGUUGUGUCAAAUGACUUAAUGUCAUAGCCCCUUGUCCAAGGGGGCUCCUCUUACUGCCAGCCAAAUGAUUAUGCCCUGCUUCAUGUUCCUCUUCUACUUUGGCAGUACCAUGAUGGCACUGGGGUCAUUCAUUCAUUCAGCAAAUAUUUAUUGGCGUAUUUUGAGUCAGGCACUGCUGUGGAUGCUAUUGAUACAGUAGUGAAUAUCAAAGGCAAAGUGUUAGCACUCAUGGGGAAGUUAUGUGUAUGCAUGUGUGUAUAGCACAUAAAUAUAUGAAAUAUCUGUGAAGAAAAAGUUGGGAAGUGUAUAACAGGUACAGUGGAUAGAUGGAGAUUAGCAUUUUUAGUCGGAUUGUUGAGGAUGGCUCUCUGUUAAGAAGACAUUGGAACAAAGGGACUGAUGGAGUAAAACAUGCAGAUGAUACUGAGCAGAAGAGAAAUAUGAGUACAUUUUCACAGGAUCAUUCUGGUUGCUGGGGGAGAAUAAAAUGAAAAGGAACUAGGGGGAAGUAGAGAAGUCAGCUAGAAACGUAUUACUAGAAUCCAGAUAUUAUGGUUUGAAUAGACCAUGUCUCCUGAAAUAGAUGGUUAAAUGCCAAAGUCACAAAUUAGUGGUAGUAGGAAGGUAGAAACAAUACAAUUAUGGUUUCUAAGAGCUGAUUUGUAUCAUUGAGGGUGUUCCCUUGCAGCGUAGUUCUCCUUGAGUUGGGCCCAGUUGUUCUCUCUACUUCCUGGCUCAGGACCAUGUGAUCCAUCCAUGCACAUUUGUUUCACCAUGGCCACCCUCUGGCACCACCAGACAGAUGCCCAACCAAUAGGCCUGCGUGAUCUUGGCCUGUGAACCUCUAAAACUGUAAGCCAGAAUAAACCUCCUUCCUCCAUAAAGAACUCAUCUUAAGUAUUUCAUUAUAGUAACAAAAGGCCAACCAGUGCACCAUGUGGAGAUAAUAGUGGCCCUAACCAGGGUGGAUACAGUGGGUGUGGUAAAAUGUGGUUAGAUAUAGGAUGCAUCUUGAAGGCAGAGCUCCCGGGAUUUGCUAACUGGUUGGAUAUGAGAGAAAGAAGAACCAAAGGUGAUUGAUUCCAAGUUUGGAUGCCUGGAACAAUUGGAAUGCCUUUUCUGGAGGUAAAAGUAUGUUUAACACAGGGAAGCUAGGAGUUUGGUUCUAGACUUUUAGAUCUAGGAGAUGUCAAGAAGGCAAAUGUAGAUCAAAGCCUGGAGGCCCAGGUUGGAGCUAUCCACUUAUGAGUUGUGAGAGCACAGAUGGAAUUUAAAGGACAGCAUACAAUGAGAUCCUCCCCCUCCUCCUCCUGCAGGGAUUAUAAACAUGCAGAAGAGAAGCAGCCAAAGAACUGAGCUCUGUGGCACAUGGAGCAGGAAGCGAAGGUCAUUGAGAACGAGGAUUGGGUGAGGCAGAAAACAAACCACAGGAGAAGGAUGUCCUGGGACCCAGAUGGAGCAAGUGCUCCAGGAAAGAGGGAAUAAAAUGAGCUGGGCAUCUGAGAAACAAGAGAACUGGGGGCCAGUGGUGGUGUGGUGUAGUGGGUUAAGUGUUGCCUGCAAUGCUGGCAUCCCAUAUGGUCACCUGUUCAACUCCCAGCUGCUCCGCUUCUGAUCCAGCUCCCUGCUAAUGUGCCUGGGAAAGCAGCAGAGGAUGGCCCAAGUACUUGGACUCCUGCACCCACUUGGGAGACCUGGAAGAAGCUCCUGGCUCCUGGUUUCUGCCUGGUCCAGCCUUCACUAUUGUGGCCAUUUUAGUAGUGAACCAGUGGAUGGAAGUUCUCUCUCUCUCUGUUGCUCUGCCUUUCAAAUAAAUAAUUUUAUUUCUUUUUUAAAAGAUUUAUUUUAUUUUUUUGAAAGGCAGAGCUAUAGAGAGACAGAGAGAGAGAGAGAGAGAGAGAGCACGAAAUCAUCCGUCCACUGGUUCACUCCCCAAAUGGCUGCAAUGGCUGGAGCUGCACUGAUCCAAAGCCAGGAGCCUCUUCUGGGUCUCCCAUAUGGGUGCAGAGGCUCAAGGACUUGGGCCAUCUUCUACUGCUUUUCCAGGCCAUAGCGGAGAGCUGGAUUGGAAGUGGAGCAGCUGGGACUUGAACCUGCACCCAUAAUGAGAUGCCAGCAGUGCAGGUGGCGGCCUCAAUAACUAAAUCUUUAAAAAAGAGAGAGAGAGAGAGAACUGAGAAUUGGCUGUUUGAUUUUGCGAUUGGAGAUCAUGAAUGCUCUUGUGAGUGUUCUUCCAGUGAAAUGGCAGAAGCACAAACCUGAUUAUGGUGUCUUCAAGAGUGGAAGUGAUAACAGUGAGUCCCAGCAGCUCUUGAAGAGUGUUAGAUGGAGAAGACGAGGAUCCGUGAGUAGGUGGGAAGUGAUGGAACUCAUUGUGCAAGUGGAGCAAUUGGGCCUAGAAAGGAACUCGGACAUGGCAAGUAUUUCUUUUUCUCCCUUUAAAAGAAAAUCUGUAGGUCUGUGUCUUCAUUUCACAACUACUAUGUAACUUAACACUGGGCAGGCAAAGAUGGACAGAAGAGAUGAUGGAGCUGACAUUAUCUAUGUCUUGAAUUGGACUAUUUGUGGAACAUCAUAAAAUAUUGAAAUAUGAAUUUUAAAAUAGCUAAUAUGUGCGACAUAAUUCAAUACCAGAUUUUAGCAUGAACAAGCACUAAUGGGCACCACAGGUAUAAGAAAAUAAUUUUAAGUGAAAAAAACUUUCAGCCAGUAGCUUAUUGUACUGAAAUUUCCAUGACUUGGGAAAUGUCCACUGGGUUAUUAUUCUUUGCAAAUGCAAAGAAUUUUGGCUUUGUUUGUAGAACAUCAGGGUUCCGUGUCUUCAGAGACUGCCCUUAUGACUCUAAGAGCUACACAGCAUUCAGGAGAACUAUCUUAAAUGCUGAAUCAAGGGUGAGUGUUUGGCUAGUGGUUAAAAUACUGAUUGGGAUGCACACAUCCCUUAUUGGAGUGCCUGGAUUUGAGUCCUAACUCUGCCCCUGAUUCCAACUUCCUGUUAAUACACAUCCUGAGAGGCAACAGGUGAUGGCUCAAGUGGUUGGGUUUCUGCCAUUCACAUGGGAAAUCUGGAUGGAGCUCCCAGCUUUGGCCUGGCCUACCUCCAGUCAUUGGGGGAAUCUAAGGAGUGAAUCAGCAGAUGAGAGCUUUGUCUGUCUGUCUCGUUGCCUCUUGUAUAAAUAAGUCAAUAAAAUCAAAUACAAUACUGAGGCAGUACCUGCACCCUCCGCUAAUACAUAGAGGCUUUUCACAUUACGGGUAAGGAGAGAAGGGAUCCCAUAUGUUGGCCACCAGAAGCCAGUAUUGCCAGCACUGAUUCCCCAGCACCAGGUUGGCAAGGUUGGAUUGACUUGCCCCAGGAGGCCUGGGAGGGUGCUCUCACCUGCACAAGAUACUCACCACAGGGGCAUCCCACAGCACUUGGAAAGUCUCUAGAGGCAUCUACAAGUGGACAAGAUUCAACACAAAAACAGGCAAUUCCUCUGAUUUUCCAGUAAGCAAGGUCAAAUCAUACAUCUGGCCAUGCUCCAGACCUCAACUCAGGUCUGAAAAUGGCCACCGUGCUUUCUUUUCUUUUCUUUUUCAUUAUUUCUUUUUUUAAACCAGUUACCCAUAUUUGCUUAUUAAGUCCUAAUCAAUACCAUAAACCUCAGAGAGGCUAGGUGGCCCUCCAAAGUCACACAGCCAGUAGGUGGCAGACCUGGGACCAGAACACAAGUUUUCUACCAUCAAAUUUGUGCUUGUUCAAUCAAAUGAAACCGAUAAAAAGUAAGACUUCAAACCCAAGGACACACCUUCCCAAAUCACACCUGUGUGGGUGGGUGCUAUUUGGGUAAGGUCAGGUCCUGGGUAAGGUUGGGUGGGGUGAGUCCAUGCCCUGUUUUCUCUUGUGAAUCUUGUGUCCUCUACUGUCCCUGAACUGGGGUGGGACCUGACAACAAGGUGGCUACAUUUAGCUGGAAUACCAUCUGGGAGAUCCAAAGGUAAGCAGUGUGUGUGUGUGUGUGUGUGUGUGUGUGUGUAGACCUAUCAUUUGUUUAAUUCUUUCUAUUUUCUAAGUGCUAUCACAUACAUCAUUCCUUGUGAGCAUCAUUGCAACUUUGUGUUGUAAGAAUUAAUCUAAGUCCAUUUAAUGGAUAAGACUAUUGAAUCCAGAAGAGAGAAGUCCCCACAUGAUACAUUCAUGCUCUAGGAUCCCCCAUGGGUGACUUUUAGGACUUUGAGGCACCUCUUUCUCCAACACCGUGCUGUGGCUUCUCAAAACUCCAGGAGGCAGAGUGAGAAGGGGGAAGUUGCUGGACACUUUGCAUAUUAUCUUGACAACCACAGAAAGAGGCUAACAAAGGAACAGGAGCUGAGAGAUGUGUGUAAGGUCACAUAAACAUCCAUGGUCAAACUGUCUGUCAAUCUGGUCAGGAAAUGGUGACUUUCCACAGCCCACUGCUGCCUCUCCAAGAGGACUUCUGCUAGCUGGGGUAGUGGGGGUCUAGGAACAGGACCUCUGCUCACCCCCAGAUGUCUUCAGUGGGCAUCUAAGGAAGAGGAGGUUGAAUUAUCUUUUUUUAAAAAGAUUUAUUUAUUUUACUUGAAAGAGUUACACACAGAGAGAAGGAGAGGCAGAGAGAGAGAGAGAGAGAGAGAGAGAGAGAGAGAGAGGUCUUCCAUCUGCUGGUUCACUCCCCAGUUGGCCGCAACGGCUGGAGCUGUGUUGAUCUGAAGCUAGGAGCCAGGAGUUUCUUCCAGGUCUCCUACGCUGGUGUAGGGGCCCAAGGACUUGGGCCAUCUUCUACUGCUUUCCCAGGCCAUAGCAGAGAGUUGGAUAGGAAGUGGAGUAGCUGGGACUUGAAUCAGCGCCUAUAUGGGAUGCCGGCACUGCAGGCGGCGGCUUUACCUGCUACACCAGAGAGCGGCCCCAGGUUGAAUUAUUUUGCAGCAAGAAUUCAAAUUUGAAUUCUAAUCUGCAGCCCCCAUCCCCUCCACCCCACCUCGUGACAUCCAACAUAGCCUUCACUUUCCUGAGCCUCCUUUAUAAAUUGGUGACUCCAGUUCCUACCUAACAGGGCUCUUGUGAGCUGAUGAUGAGUAAAGAGACCACAGAGCUUCACACCAAAUGGGAUCUUAGCACAGGGAUGGCCCCUCCCAUUUCUGGCAGCCCAGGACUGUGUGUUUUGCUCUGUGUUUGCAUUGGGCACUGGGUGUUGGAGGGAAUGCAGAUGAGUGAUUCCAGAGGUUUUCUCUCCUUCUUCCCCUACUGGGGCUCCUGACUUCCUGAAACCCGUAUUUCAGAGACAAGCACCUUUCUGCUGAUUGUUGUGUCAGCCCAGUAGACCUGCUCUGAAGUCCCUUAUGCUGUUUAAGUUGAAGGCAACAGGAAUGCAGCAGGCUUGGGAAAGUACCUUUGUCCAUCCAUCCAUGACCACAGGUAUUCUAAUGAAAUACAUCACAUUCAUUUUUCUUGAAAGUUUGACUUCCUGAGUUUUCCAGAAUGGAAAUUGCUGCAUUCUCCGUGGUUCCUUUGAUGUAGCAAUAUCACCCAUGUGCAGGAUGAACCAGAUCUCUAAGGUCUCCAAACUCAUCCCCCAGGGGGCAAGUUCAGGUUUACAAAGGUGAUAAAUGGCUUCUUCCACCCUUGUUCUGGAUGUGUCAUUUGUCAGCUCUGGGCUUACCUUGAACAAGAUACGAUGAGUGGCUACUGUUUGAUAGCCACUGAGUGAGUUCUAAGAGGUGGGAAGAUACAUUGACACAAAUGCCUCAAGCCCCUAUCAGAGGAGAGCACAAGGUGUAUCUGAUUUAUAUUGCUACAUAACAAAUUAUUUCCAAAAACCAUUAGCUUAGAAGAAACAUUUAUUAUCUUACAUGGUUUCUUAACAAUAGGAAUCAGAGAACAGGUGAAAUAGGUGGUUCAGGCUCAGAGUCUUUUAGGGUUCACGGUCAAAUUCAAGUUGUCAGCUGGAGGCUGCAGUCAUCUGACUGACUGAAGGUGGAGGAUCCACUUCCAAGAUAGCUCACUAAUGUGGAUGGGCCAGAGACUUCAGAUCCUUGCCGUGUGGUCCUCAUGAUGUAGGACUGGCUUGUCCUUGAGUGUGGGAUCUGAGAAAGAGAGACAAACAGAAACCUCUUUAUGAGCUGUAGCCUCUACAACAACAUAUCAUCAGUUCUGCUCUAUUCCAAUGGCUGUGUACACCAACUCCGAUACAAUGACCAGGGAGGGGAAUUCACAAUGGUUUAGGCCAGCAGGAAGGGUCUUUGGAGGGCCAUCUAAGAGGCUGCCUAUCUUGAAAGUCAUGGUUAAUCAGCAGAUCUGUAUUCAAUUUUCACUUCUGCAACUAGCCAGCUAAAGGAUCCCAGGAAAAUCCAUUUGUUUUUCUGACCCUUGAUUUCCUUACCAGUGAAAUGGAAAUAAAUAACAUCUCCGUUAAAUGGUUACCAUGAGGUUUCCAUUACACAGCUCAGGCAAAAUGCUUGGUACAUUUGAAAAUAGCUGAAUAAAUAUUAGCUCACAUUUUUCUCUUCCCUUCUGCAUUUUUAGAAUUAGGAGGGGAAGGAACUAUAAUGGUUUGGGGGUUGUAAAUCAGAGAAACUAAGGUUUUCAAGAAUGGGAGUCUAUUGCAUUAAGAGCUAGAUUUCAGAUGGGCUUAAUGUGAUUCAGAGCUCCGAUCAGCGGUUGUUUCUUCCUCUGGAAAAUGGAGGUGAUAAUACCGACCUCACUGAGGAUCUGUUAGAACUCCAUGUGUCUACACAUGGAAGAGCUUAGGGCAGCAUCUGUCUGGAAUAAACACACAGAAACUCUGCUGUUUAGGGAGCAAAGGCAGGGUCCCCUGUUACCUACAGAGGCUUCAGAUGUGACUAAGGAGUUCCAGGAGCUUAUGGGUGGAAGAGGCAGAUCUCACCAGUUACAACAGGGAAACUGAAAAAUCCCAAAGUUCGCUGGGGCCUCACAAGUACACCUGCCCUUGCCUGCUGCCUCUGGGAUUGCCUUUCCUCCUCCUUUCUCUCUGCUCACCUCCUCUCCCCUGGAUUCCUCCCAAGCUUCCAGUUCCCCUGCCCCUGGCACAUCUUGUCUUUCCUGCACAUGCUGAGUGGCAGCCAGUGCUGGGAUUCUUUGAGGGUCUGCUUUCUACCCGAGGUGGGCUAAUCAGGGCAUUUUCUAAUAGAGGUGCUAAAAAAAUAGAAAUUAGCUUCUGGAACAUGCUUCAUUUUUAUGUUGGGGAUUGCUGGUGUGUUUUUAAAGGCCUCCACACUUUGCCUAGUAAAACCUUUUCACAGCUUUACUAAUUAGAGACUUUGUUAAAUUAAGAAUAAAUGCAUUAGAUCUUGCAUACUCUUCCAAUAAAGCCUUCAUUAUCCUGUAUUAAUUUUAAAAUUAAAUUAUAUCAAAGUAUAUCACGUGUACAUAAAUUAAAAGUUCUAAUAAUAUUAAAAGGUUUAUUACCAAAACCAGCUGACUUCUACCCUUCUACCUAUCCCCCAGAAGCAGCCAAUUCCAUUCUAGUUGGUCUUCUGGAAUUUUCCUUCAUAUUACUAAAUCAUAUGUAUGUGUGUAUGUACAGCUGUACUGAAAUUUUUUGGAAUUAUAUAUUGAUCUCCUCUUAUGGUGGAUGAGGAUUAAACUGUCUUAUAAAAAGAUCACCUGAAUUGGAGUAAGAUGGCGGAGUAGGGAGGGAGCUUGCUGCUCGAGGCUAGAGAAGAUAGUUUUUAAAAAAAGUGGAAAGAUGCAGUCUCAGGGAAGAGACAGCAGCAGAGGACGCUUACCUAAAUUGGAAGAACACAGUGGACUCACAGCCAGCGUCCUAUUGAAUGGGGAAAAGUUGGAAGCAUUCCCGCUGAGAUUCAGAACCAGACAAGGAUGGCCACUCUCGCCAUUGCUAUUCAAUGUAGUCCUGGAAGUUUUAGCCAGAGCCAUUAGAUAAGAAAAAAAAAAUUAAAAGGAUUCAAAUUGGGAAAGAAGAAGUCAAACUAUCCCUAUUUGCAGAUGACAUGAUUCUAUAUAUAGGGGAUCCAAAAGACUCCACCAAGAGACUAUUGGAUCUCACAAAAGAGUUUGGUAAAGUAGCAGGAUAUAAAAUCACUAAACAAAAAUUGACAGCCUUUGUAUACACAGACAAUGCCAUGGCUGAAAAACAAUUUCUAAGACUGAUCCCAUUCACAAUACACACACACACACACACACACACAAAGAAAGAAAGAAAAAGAAAAAGAAAAAGAAAUCAAAUACCAUGGAAUAAAUUUAACCAAGGAUGUCAAAGAUCUCUACAAUGAUAAUUACAAAACAUUAAAGAAAAAAAUGGAAUAUACAAAAAAAUGGAAAAAUCUUCCAUAUUCAUGAGUUGGAAGAAUCAAUAUCAGCAAAAUGUCCAUUCUUCCAAAAGCAAUUUACAGAUUCAAUGUGAUACCAAUCAAAAUACCAAAGACAUUCUUUUUAAAUCUAGAGAAAAUGAUGCUGAAAUUCUUAUGGAAAUACAGGAGACCUUGAAUAGCUAAAGCAAUCUUACAUAACCAAAACAAAGCCGGAAGCAUCACAACACCAGUUUUCAAGACAAACUACAAAGCAAUUAUAAUCAAAACAGCCCAGUACUGGUUCAAAAGCAGAUUGAUGGACCAAUAGAACAGAAUAGAAACACCAGAAAUCAAUCCAAACAUCUACAACAAACUUACGUUUGACAAAGGAACUAAAAUCAAUCACUGGAGUAAGGACAGUCUCUUCAAUAAAAAUGGUGCUGGGAAAAUUGGAUUUCCACAUGCAGAAGUAUGAAGCAGGACCCCUACCUUACACCUUACACAAAAAUCCAUUCAAAAUGGAAUAAAGACUUAAAUCUAUACCCUGAUACCAUCAAAUUACUAGAGAACCUUGGGGAAACCAUGCGAGACAUUGGCAUAGGCAAAGAUUUCUUAGAAAAGACCCCAGAGGCACAGGCAAUCAAAGCCAAAAUCAACAAAUGAGAUUACCUCAAAUUGAGAAGCUUCUGUACUGCAAAAGAAACAGUCAGGAAAGUGAAGAGGCAACUGAAAUUAUUUGAAAACAAUGCAACUGAUAAAGGAUUAAUAACCAGAAUACAUAAAGAGAUCAAGAAACUCCACAACAACAAACAACUCAGUUAAGAGAUGGGCAUAGGACUUAAACAGACAUUUUUCAAAAGAGGAAGUCCAAAUGGCCAACAGACACAUGAAAAAAGGUUCAGGAUCACUAGCCUUCAGGGAAAUGCAAAUCAAAACCACAAUGAGAUUUCACCUCACCCCAGUUAGAAUGGCUCACAUACAGAAAUCAACAAACAACAAAUGCCAGUGAGGGUGUGGGGAAAAAGGUACCCUAAUCCACUGUUGGUAGGAAUGUAAACUGGUAAAACCACUAUGGAAAUCAGUUUGGAGAUACCUCAAAAAUCUGAAUAUAGACCCAACCAUCCCACUCCUGCGAAUUUAUCCAAGGGAAAUGAAAUCAGCAAAUAAAAUAAUUAUCUGCACCCCCAUGUUUAUUGCAGCUCAAUUCACAAUAGCUAAGACAUGGAAUCAACCUAAAUGCCCAUCAACCAAAGACUGGAUAAAGAAAUUAUAGGAUAUGUACUCUAUGGAAUACUACACAAUGGUUAAAAAAAAUUAAAUCCAGUCAUUUGCAACAAAAUUGAUGAAUCUGGAAAACAUCAUACUUAGUGAAAUAAACCGGUCCCAAAGGGACAAAUACCAUAUGUACUCCCUGAUCUGUGAUAACUAACAGAGCACCUACAAGGAAAUCUGUAGAAGUGAAAUUGACACUUUGAGAAGCAAUGACUGGAACAGCCCUUGUCUUGACUGUCGAGGAACAGUUUUUUGUUUUUGUUUUUUUUUCUUAAUGGAGAAUGGAACUGGGAAUAGGAGAGGGAAGAGGAGGUGGGGUGGGAGUGGGGAUGGGAGGGUGGGUAUGAUGGGAAGAAUCACUGUAUUCCUAAAGUUGUACUUACAAAAUUUGUAAUCAUUAAAAAAUGGUAUCUUUGGGGAAAAAUAAAAAUUUAAAAAUUCAAAUAGAUUAAAUAUUGAAAAAGAUCACCCACCUCUCAUUCCCUUCAUACUCUCAAAGUAGCUGCAUCAUAAUUUUUGUUAGAUUGACAUUGAGAAUUUAUGUAAUUCUGAUCAUGUAGCUCAGAUCAUGUAGCUGAGUUAAAUAGUGUACUAAGAUUAUUUUACCUUUUUUCUUUUUAAACCUAGAGUUAAUGCUUUUCUUCCAUUGCCUAUUUGGUAUUUGUUUCUUUCUAUGGUGACUCUCUUCUCUUUAGGCCAUGAGAGCCUCAAGCAAGGACUAUGUAGCAUGUAUUUAUUUCUGUAUUCCCAGACUAGCAAAAUGGCUGGCAAAAAAAAAAUUGAACAUAAGUGUGGGUGAUUGACUUAGUGAUUUGAUGCUCCACUUGUGUAUCUCAGGGUAGACACUGCUGGUUUUUGAGAUACAUGUCUGUGUAGGACGGGACUAUCCAGCAUGCUAGAAGAUUAGGGUCUCUGGCCCCUGACCACCCAAACCCACCAACUUCAGCCACUUCAGUACCCUUCCCAGCACCCCUCAUAGUAGAGGUAUCACCCAUGGUUGAGAGCAACAGCAUCAAUGGAAGAAAUGGUAGCACCCAGAUGCGACAGUGAGUUUGGCUGAUGCUAGAAACAGCAGAAAUCUAGCAGUGAGAUGAGAAGGAGAACUGAUAACUGCUCCUCCUUGAGGAAAGAUGUUCAGGUCUAGGAUGGGGCAAAGGUUUGGAUGUGACUCCAGACCAAAGAGACAAAACAGGCCCGAGCAGGAAACAGUCACUUGAGAAAGGAUACGUGUCAUGCUCAGUAGACUACUUUUCAGAUUGCUAUCUGUCCUACACCUUACCUUGGAAAAUGUCACUUAUUAUAACUGUAUAGCUUGAGUGGUUUCUGACCCAUGCAACCGAUGUAUAUGUUUAUUUGUAUUCCCAGACUAGCAUAGUUGACUAUAACUCCAUGAUUAGAGCUACCAGCAGAGUCUGAUGUCUGAUCUAAUGCCAGAUGUUAAAGUCAAGGAAAAAGAGCUGGAGUCAGACAGGAGAAGGAGGUCCAUCCAUCUUGGUGAACUUACCUUGAUAAUGCCAGAGAAAAUCUAUCCCUUUUGUGAAGCUUGGGAGCUAUAGAAUGGUAGGAGACAUCCAGGGAACAUGGCCUUGCCAGGCGAGGGACAGUGGGGGGCGGUAGCUGCUGAGAGCGUGGGUCAGUCUGACACAGGGCAUCUAAUUCAUUUCACCUUGCUCGACUUGGCUGAUAAUUUCAUCUUUCAGCCCAAAGUGGAAAAGACCUGGGGAACUUCUGUUCUGGACCUAAUUCUGACCAACUAGGAAAAAUUGCUUGGCAAAUUGGAUGUGACAGGAACCUUGAGAGACAGCAACAACGUUCUCCUAGGGUUUGGAAAAACAAAAAGAUCAGAGACUGGGCCGUUAUAAUCCUAAACCAGUGGCUGUUCACACACUUACUCAGCACAGGCUUGGGGCCCGGCAGCAGUGUUGGGGCUGAGACUAUACCAGGACCAAGGCAACAUCCCUGCCCUCAGAAGGCAUCUACUUUCCAGUAAACAUACAGGUGAAUAAGAUCGUUCUAGAUUGGCUUAAAAUGCUGCACAAACACUGAGACAGGGAGUGCAGGAAACAGGGAGAUAGGUUGAGUCUACAUCAAGUCCUCCCUGGGUGUGCUUAUUGACACUGACACUCAUGGAAUGAGAAAGAACCAGCCACAAGGACAGCAAGUCAUGGAAGGCUCAGCAGAUGUCAACUGAUAGCUUGGUGUGACCAAGGGCACAAUAGUGGCAGGAAAUUUUCCCAAGAGUAAAGGUGGCUUUGUGAAAGGAGUUUUUUCUGUUAUAGUGUUGUCACAGUUGAACUUGUAUAGUUAAUUUGGUGAUCUUGGGAAAAAUUCCAGGAUAGAUUAAAAAAAAAAAAAGCUCUUAAACAUCUAUACAAAAAUUGAUGGUUAGUUGUGCGCAGUUUAUGACCCAACCAACAUAACUAGCUCCUCCUCUCCACAUUGUUUUGGGAGUAAGAUUUAAUAGAAUAAUAGAGCAGGAAGAAACAGACACUGGGUAUUUUUAUUUCAGCACAGUAUUCAAUGAGGUGACUCACAUGGUUUUCAUGAACAAAUUAGAAAAUUGAAGGUCAGAGUGUUGAUUAUUUACCUAAACGACUGGGUCCAAAAAAGUGGACUAGAGAGGAAGGUGCAAACAUGAUCUAUGUCUCCAGGAGCUCAAGCUGGAGGCAAAGGUCGAACACGAUGGGAAAGUAGAUUUUACCUCAGUCUAAGGCAGAUCUUUCUAAGAAUAGGAGAUGUCCUGAAGCUGCUUUGGAAUUAGGACACAGAUGAGCCAAAUUGGUGCAACAGAUGGUGAAUGUUUGGGGGGCUGGUCUCAUCCGCCAUGAUAAUCUAGGAUUAUCUGAUUCAGGAGAAGUAACUGAGCAAUUGUGUUGCUUAUGCACCAUUUUCUCUCUUUGGUUUAAUAACGAUGUCUCUCUGUAAUAAAGACUAUGUCAGUGGCCCAGGUGGGAAGAUUCAGUCUUCACUCCUCCCUCUUCUCUAGCCCCAACACCUCAUUCCCACUGCCAGAACUAUUGUAGCGGCCUCCUUACCUCUUUGUGUGUGGCCAGGCUAAAAUGGCACUUCUCAAAAUUGAAAUAGUGUCAAAGCCCUCUACUAAAAUCUAGCUCCUCUUCUUCAAAAAUGUUCUCAAUAGUCUUUGGACUGUCUCCAAGGCUCCAAACCCACUUCCCGCAUGUCUACACUGCUCCAUAUAAGCCGUGCUCAAGUGUGGUCUCUAGGGCGUUCUCCAGUGCUUCAUUCUCUAAGAAACCUCCUUGUUUCCAUGAUCAGGAAUAAUUAAUCCUCCCCCUUCAUUCCCACAUAAUAGCCCCACUAAAUAAAUCAUGCAUUCAUUUUUAUUUCAUUCAUGCUUUUUUCAUUCUUCAUGCAUUUGCUAGUAGUACCUAUUAUGGACGAUCUCUCUGAUAGGUAUGGCAGGGGUGAGCAAAGUAAAAGGACCACUAAAUAAUUAUAUGGCAGGUGUGACAAUACAUGUUUUAUGGUCAUUAUCUCAACCUCCAAUCAACCCUGUGAGGUGCUGAGUAUUAUCCUGAUUUUGAAGAUGAGGAAAUGGGGUUAAAGAUGUUAACCCUGUUACCCCAACCAAGAUCAUUCAGUAGCCAAGAACCUGGACUGAAAUCCACACCUGGAUAGUCUGACUCCAGAGUUCAAUUUUCCAGUCUCUGUGCUAGACUUUCUCCUACUGCAGAUGAAGGGGGAACAGACAAAAUCUUGCUCUCUUAGAGCUCAACGUUGGUGCUUCUGGGUGUUGAAUAUGUACUUACUGUUCAUGUAUUUUGGCCUGGGUCCAUUUUUGGCUAUUUUCUUGCUUAUCCCAUCUGUUGGAUCAUAAGCGGUUUGGGACAGAGAGACCACCACACCACUUCAUCUACCCCACUCCAGCCACAGUCAUUCCUAUUGUGUUGCAGAUGAAGUUACUACGUCAUUAGAUGUGUCAGACCACCAAGUCUCCUUGGGUAAUAGGGCUUAAUUACAUCUAUCUCUGAGCCCUGCACAAGACAUUGACAAGCUGGUUCACAGUCACCAAGAAAGUGGAGGGGGCUGUUUUGAAUCCUAUUUAUAAACACUGCCUUCUUUGGCAUUUAUUUGGAACAUAUUAAAAUAACCCGUGAAAGUGUUAGAAGAUCUUUCUGUUCCCCAUCUUAUAAAUGAUUAUUUCAGUCUUGAAAAAAACCAAUUUUUUUCCUUCUGCAUGUAGCAAAGGGUUUAUAGACUGACAAUCAGAGAAUUUGACGAAUGCACAUUACGUUGGUUAAAAAUAGCAUUAAGAAAUAAAGGUUUCCAGAGUCAAGUGGGCACAGUGGAGUGAAGACUCAUGCCACUGUGCCCUGUGGCUACCGAAGGCUCACAAUGAUGGAGAGCCUGCUGUAUGUGUGGUGCUGUUGUAGAAGCUGUACAUAGAUGAGCUCAUGGUAUGGUCAAGGGAUGCAGAGGAAUUGAGUGGCUGAACUACAGGUUUCUCUGUUUUUUUCCACACCCUGCCAGUGUUAUGCCUGACUUCUCCAUGAUCCAGCUUUCCAGAGGACAGUGUCUGCCGGAGUUCCAUACCCUGGAGUCUGGCAGGUUCUUAGGCAUAGAGCAAAGCUUCCCUACCCAGGCAGUGGGGCUCCUUCCCUGUGGCUCACCUGUGAACUCGGGGACCUUGCUUGCCCUAAGACCAACAUGUUUGUGACUGCUUGGAGGUGGUUUGUCCUGCAAGGGUUCAAAUGUUGGAAGCUUGGUCCCCACUGUGGUGGCAUUGAGGGGGGUGGGGCCUUCAAGAGGUGAGAACCAGUGGGAAGUAAAGAGGUCACUGAGGACACUGCCCUUGGAAGACUGAUGUAGUUCCCAUGGGACUACAAUCCUCUCGAGAGGAUUGUCAUAAAAAAGCAAGCCUGGCUCCACCCCAUGCUCCAGCUUACUGUCUCCCUACUGGGUUCUGUCCCUCUCCUGUGCCCACUCACCAUUACGAUACCAUCUGCUUUGAGGGCUUCACCAGAGCCAAGCUGAAGCCAGCACCAUGCACUUGAACCUCCUGUGCUGUGAGCUAAAUAAAUCUUUCUUUGUAAAGUACCCAACCUCGGGUGUUUCACCAUAGUAAUAGAAAGAGGACCCACACAAUAUUCUUCCACGGUUGACCCAGGAGAAAUUCUAAAUUAAGCGGAGUAUUCCCCCUAUAGAAUAAAAUAAGUGGGGGCUGGUUAUUGAGCACAGAACCAUAGCAUGGAGUUAACUGGUUGGAAUACUCAAUGGCCUCAUGCCAAGAUGACCACAAUGGGAUAGUCUUGUCCAUGGACCCAAAUUCUUCAGGUCUGUGGUAAGACUUUGUCUGAACUUACUGGAAGAGGCACUGCCUCUGGUCCUCCAGUUUCCCAUAAAGUCCCCUGUGGUUGCACUGUCAUACUCUUUGGAUGUAUUUAAUACUUCUGAUCAAAGCUAUGCUCAGCCUGGGUUCUUCUGUGUCAGUUUAAUGUGACCUUGCUUGUCUUUGCUUUGAUCUGCGUCACUCUGACUUGACAUGAUUUUCAUCUUAGUCCUCUUAUAAAAAUUGUCUCCUCCCCAUGCCCCUACCCCCAGCAUAUGAAUUAUAGUUUAUGCCCAGUCUAUAAGCAAGAAGGUACAGAUCCACGUCUUCUGACUUCACACCUGGCAUUCCUGCCCUGCCCCUGCCACACCCCCACCCCCACCCCAUCAGCAUCAAAGGGCUGUUCAGAGUGUUCUCACUUGGGCCAUUUGAUUGUAGUUUGCACAUAUCAUAAACAUCUCCAGGUGAUCUUGUGGAUACCCUUGGAGUCCUCAUGCAGGCUGUGCCCAGCCCUUACUGCUGCCCGGCUGCUCUGGUUCUUUGCACGCCUACUGGAGCAGCCUCUGAGCUGGCCCCUUUCUUUCUUCUGCAAUCAGCUGCUGGUUUUCAGGUAAGGUGCCUGCCUGCAUCUUGCAAUUUCUCCAGGCUUGGCCCUGGGAUGCUCCUUGCUUGGCCACAUUUUUUCCUGUAGACACAAAGCCAUCUUGCUCACUGCCCCUGACAGUGCUUAAAGCCGCCUCUCCUGAGACCAUCUCCACGCUGUCAUCUCAUCUCCAAUGCAUUGCCUUCGUUUUCAUCCCUCUGUCUUCCUCCCUCGACACAGACCAUUUCUCCCAAGACACCAGGUUGUCUGGAAGCCCCCUUUCUCCUGUGCAAUCUGCACCUUCCUUUGCUCUGCCUGCUCCUCCCCUCUUUAUCUGGGAGCACAUCCCAUUUAUUAUUAAAUUUCAUUUCCACAGACCUCAGGCCCCCGAAUGUGAUUUCCUGGCUUUCAGCUGGUUGGUUACUUCUGUUCUGCCCCCAACUGCAAGCAGACGUUAGUAAUCAACACAGAGCUUCUCUGAUAAUCAAACUAGACAGGUGGGGCUCUGCCUUUAUUUUCCUCUUAAUCACUAGGUGUGAUAGUAAUAAUGUCAGCUUGAAUAAUCUGGCAGCAUAGACCUCUAUCCAUGUUGGUAUUUUUUCCCCCAGAUCUACUUCAGUCUCACCUCAUGGCCGAAGAAUGCCAAUGAGGUCCUCACCCAAAAUGGGCUUAGAAUCUUGAUUAUGGACAAUGCCAAUUGCUUCGAGCCUGGGUGAAGCUCAUAAUUGGACGGCAGUGUAUCAUGCGGGGAUUUUUGUUUUAAUCCUUAACCCUAGCUGGUAAUGACUUUAUGCCCUGCAGCUAGAGACUUGAUAGCCCUUGACUUUUUUCCCCUGCCUUCAGGAGAGAGCCUACAGCUGUCACUAUGCCCUUUGCUAGUGGGUGGAGCAGCCCAGCCUGGAUUAAAAGGGGAGCUGGCUGCCACGGGUGGUGACUCCUUAGGUGACCUUGGCCAAGUCACUUUUCUCAGCAGUAAGAUGAGACCUCUGGUCUCCAGCUCUCUCCGCUGGGAUGUGGAGGGACAAUGGGAUCGUGUUUCUGCAGCCCUUGAACGCACUUCGCGUGAGGAGGUUAUACAGACAGUGAAGUGUGCGUAGAAAUGCCAGGAUAAAUGCAGGGCGAAAUGAACAAAGUGAGACCUGGAAGAUGAGGUGGGACCCCUUGGGCCUUCCGGUAGUGAGUACAGAACUCUGGCUUCCUGUUGUGAAGGUAAACCCAACUGGAGGCCUGGGACAACCACAGCUCCACUGAAGUGCCUGGGAAAUGGGCGCCAGAACCCAGGAUGGGAUCGGAGCGUGCUCGUAAUAGCAUUGCAUUACAUGAACACAGACAUGGUGGAGCCGAGAUGGCAUUAGACUUGCAGGAGAAAUAUAUAUUGGUGUUGGACAAACCAUUUAACCUAAAUGCUAUUUCCCUCCUGUAACAUGGGGAUAAUUGUUCUCCAGCGCAGGGUUAUUCCCAGGAUAUGCAAGAGAGGAAGAAUGAUACUUAUGAAAACAGUGUUUUCAAAACCAGAUUUACAGAAAAAAAGGAAAAGUUCUGAUGCACUGCAUUUGUCAAUUUCUAUGGUGUAAGUGCUUACCUCAUGACAAAUUUUGGCUAUUAAUGGUUUGACCAUUGGCUGGCAUGAUUUAUGAAUAUAUAUUUUUUAAGAUUUUAGUUUUAUUUAUUUGAGAGGUAGAGUUACGGACAGAGAAAGGGAGAGACAGAGAGAAAGGUCUUCCAUCCACUGGUUCACUACCCAGAUGGCCGCAAUGGCCGGAGUUGAACCGCUCUGAAGCCAGGAGCCAGAAGCUUCCUUGGAGUUUCCCAAGCCGGUGCAGGGGCCCAAGCACUUGGGCCCUCUUCUACUGCUUUCCAAGGCCAUAGCAAAGAGCUGGAUUGGAAGAGGAGCAGCUAGAUCAUGAAAUGGAACCCAUGUGGGAUGCUGGCGCCGCAGGUGGAGGCUUAGCCCACUAUGCCAGUGUUGGCCCUGUGGAUUCCUAUUUAGCAAUUUUGUCUUGAAAGCCAGCAUGAGCUGGCCCCAGCACACAUAGACAACCCUUAGUAAGUGCUUUCCAUGCCUCAGAUGUUUCGUUUUGUCUUAACUGCUACACUAGCAGGUAGUUAUAAUUAACCCCAAUCUGCAGAUGGGGAAAUUGAGGUUGUGAGACAGGAAGAAUAAAGUCUUGAGGUAAGUAGCAGAGACAGGAUUUGAACCCAGGUUUGCCUAACUUUAGAAUCUGUGCUCAUGCCUGCAUGCCAAACUCCAUAGCAUGAGAGUCCAUGAUUGAGAGCAGACAAACUGAAACACAGCACAAAGCCGGAGUGAACAACUCCCUGACCUGAGGGCAGUAGGCUGGCUUCUCACCUCACCGCUCCUGUUUCCUGGGUUUUUCCUGGGCCCUUCAGAGCUGAAAGGAAUGUGGACCCACCCCAUGGCUUCCUCCUGGUCAACAAGCCCUCCGAUGGAAGGAGAGCUUCUGCUUUCUCGCCUCUGCGGGGCAGCCGCCCUCAAUUGUGCCAAAGAAGUGCAGUGCAACAGCCAUUCUGGGAGGCUACUAGAAUUAGUCAUGGGAAACGAGGAAAGCCAGCAUUUGGUCAAAUUCCAGUGCACUGUGCUAUCCCCCAAAGGGGAACAAGAACAUUCCUUCCGAGACGGUGCACAUUUUUGCACACUGGGGCCUGGCUCAGCUGUGGGACAGAACUCCACGGAGGGCUCAGUAUUUACUCUCCCUGCAGCUUUUGCCUCUUGUUCUCCCGCCCCUGCACGCAUUACCUUUGCAGCCAGCCAGCCAGCCACAGACAGACCUCAGCUCCACGGAGUCAUGAUCUCCGACCUCCUGGGCCUCUCAGAUUCUCAGAAGUCUGUCCUUGGGGUCCAGGCCAGCAGCCUCUUCUGUUUCCCAAAGGGGCUGCUCCAAAGUUCUUCCACUCUCCUCAAGACUUCACCUCCUGCUUUGCCAGGAAAAGAGAAGAUGGAAUAUCUCCGACAAUCUGCUUCUGUCAUCAAAUAAAACUUUAUCAGACUUCUUAGCCUUUCUCUAUAGUUUCCCCCGAGUCAGUUAACCUGUUUCAGGCAGUUUUCUCCAUGAGUGCCCACUUGGGGACCCUUCUCCAGGGACCACCAAACAGCCCACCUUCUCUCCUCCUAGCUUUCAAUCUCUCCCUCUCCUCCUCCUCUUCCUCCUUAGCAUGCAAGUUUAUUCAGUGUCUUUCCACUUGAAAAAAAAAAAUCAGUUCAGUCUGAUGUUUUAUUCUAGCUACUCCCUUUCUAUUUUUCCUUCAGAACCAAACUUUCGACAAGUGUUAUCUAAUCUCUCAGGAUUUCAACUCAAUGCAGUUGCCUGCAAAGUCCAUCUUAAACAUUCAAGUGGCCAAACCUGGUGGGUACACCUCAUGCUAUAGAUUACUCGGCUUCUCUGUAGCAAUGGGCAGUGCUGGCCACACACUCCUAGGAAGUGUCUGUUCCACUGUCAUCGGUGACCUCCUCUGUCCUAGUUGUCCUUUUUCUCCGUGCAUUUCUUCUCGGGGGUGGUGGGCUUCUCUUCUACCCAACAUCUGAAUGUUGGUUUCCUUAGGUGGAUCUUUGAUUUCCUCCUUUCUUCUAACACAUUUCCUAAGGAACUUCAUUCUCUCUAAUCCAUGUGCUGAUGACUCUCAAAAUUUCAUCUUCAACCUUGACCAUGGACACAUAUGCACAUCCUUAUGGGACAUUCCCAUACACUUCACAAUUUCAGCAUGCGUGCAAUGGAGCGCACACUUCUUCCACUGACUCCUCCCCCUGGGCUUCUCACUUCAUUGACUGACAGCACCAUGGACUUGGUGUCCUCUGUCCCCUGGGUAUUGCACGUGACUCCCACGCUUUCCAAACUCCCCACUUCUAGUUGUUCAGAAGACUGCUGUAGAGUGGUGAUCUGUGUCACUGUUGGCUGUCACCUUCAGAUCCCACUUUCCUUUUUGGGAGAUUCCCAUGGCGGUGGGCAGCAGGGCCCUGUCUGCCUAUGACAAGAGCUGAAAUAGGAUGGAUCUUCUGUCUCUCACCUUCCUGGCAGCCAGAGCCCAGGCAUAUGACUUCAAAUCUGUCAACUGGACUUACUUCAUUUAUUUUCAGUGGGUUAUGAUGAGUAUUUUUAAUAGGCUAUAUUUUUAGAACAGUUUUAGAAUUACAGGAAAACUGAGAAUUUAGUACAUAGAGUUCUCCCGUAGCCUCUUACCCGUGCAUAUGAUUUCCCUUCUUAUUAAUGUUUCAUAUGCCUUGGUUACAAUUGUUGAAUCAAUAUUGAUAUGUUAUUUUUCACUAAAGCCCAUCCUUUAUUCAGAUGUCCUUAGUUUUUACUCCAUGUCUACUUCUGUCCCAGGAUCACAUCCAGGAUACCACAUUAAUUUAGUUCUCAUGAAGCCUUAGGCUCCCUUUGGCUGUGAUGAUUUCACACACUUUUUCUCUUUGUGAUGUCCUUGGCAGUUUUGAGGAGUACUGGUCAAGUACAUGGUAGGAUUCCCCUCUACUGGAGCUUUUCUCCUGAUUAAACUAGGUUAUAGGCAUUUGGGAAGAAACAACAGGUAUGCCAUUUUCAGCAUAACAAGUCAAGGACACAUGCUCUCAGCUUGAUUUAUGACUACUGGUGUUGACCUUGAUCACCUGGCAGAGGCCUGUUUGUCAGGUUUCUCGACCAUAAAGUUAUUCAUUAUCCAUGAUGUUUCCAGGCAUAGCCCGCACUCAAGGAGUGGGGAGUUAGGGUCCCCUAUUUUCCUGACUCUUUCAAAUGAUACGAAGAAGCAGGAAAUGUGGGGAUUCAUUUUGGCAAUGACCCCAACAGUGUGCAGAUUCCAGGGUUAGGUGGUGGAGAUGGUGCCAGUGGCAGCCUCUGGCGACCAGUGCGCAGUAUCUUGUCAAUGGAUGAUGACAGCCGUGUGUUUCACUUCAGGCAGCUCCUGUUCCUGACUAUUGUGGCUGCUAAGUCAUCCUUGGCUCCUGCCAGCUUUCAGGACCCAUUCUCUGGUCUUCCCAGUGAUUUGUAAACACCCAGUGCCCCUUUCCCUAAAUACUUCUGCUUAAGUCAGAGUUCAUCUCUCUUGUCUGCAAUUGAGAACCCAGAUUGAUAAGUCCUCUUGAUUCCACUUCUAACAUACCUCUUAACUCUGAUACAUUUUUUCUCUAAUCCUAUAGGGGAGACUGCCCUAUGUACCCCGGUGUCCAGUCCCCUUAUCUGCCUGUGGGUAGCAGAAUGUCCUGAGUUUUAGCUGGGCACAGGACAUCCAGCUAAGGUUUACAUUUACUUGUGUUGCUUGAAGCUAGGAUUGAGCAGAAGUGGUAGCAACAACUGUGUCUCUAAGACUAAUUUGCUUGCUGCUGUGGGUUUGGUUCCCCCUUGGUGAUGAAUGGGAUAUGGCGACUAUCACAGUGGCUGCCUUGGAUGACAGCCAUGUGUGGGGGAUGCAACCAGCUGGACCUCUGGAUGGUUUUGUGAAGCAGAGAAAUCUGCCUACCCUCAGUCACCCACCUAGCUUUGGCCUGGACUGAAAGAGAUCCAUUUGUAUCUCAUUUAAGCCACUGUAUUUUGACCCCUUUUGUUACAACAGCUUAGCCUACCCCCAACCCAAUCCCCAAUGCCACCUCAUUAGUCACAUCAGUACACUGGGCCUCCUCACCUCUCACCAGAACUGCUCAACAGCUCCCUGAGUGAUCUCUGGAGCUGUAGUAUUUCUGCACAUACCAAUGCAUCCUGUCCAUUUCUUGCUGAGGAGAUACAUCUAGAAGUCGAAUCUACUUUGAAAACCUCCUCCACCUGCCUAGCUAACUCCUGCUCCUUUCUCAAGGCUCAACUUUAGUGUGACUCCACUCGGAAGCCUCCUCUGGUCUGCUCCACACCCCAGGCUGUGUCUUAGCUCCUUUGUUUAUACCCCACUGCAUACUAUUGAGGCCCAAAUAGCAUUCACUAAUUGGUUUAUAAUUAUUUAUUUGCCUGUUAGACUGAGCUGCUCUCAGAGCUUGAGAAACCAACAGUUAUCAUUGCCAGCCCCACAUUUCUCCCAGCCAGAGGCCGUUCCCCAGUUUUGGAGCCAUGCUUCUGCACAAGGACUUUGCCCAUAAGAAAGGGGAGAGUUCAUGCUGACUGCCAAGGUCAAUUUUACUCUCUGUCCCAGUGAUAUCCAGACCCCAGUUCAAACUUCCCUUCUCCCAAAAGCCCAUCUUCUCAGUUUGGGCAAAGCAUCAGAGGUAGAGUAACUUGCCAAGUCACCAUCUCAUGGACUGAGAUUUUAUUGCUUGGUGUCUAGCAGUUGCCAACAGCAGAAUCUUGAGUGUGUAGGUGGCAACCAGCAUGAAGCCUAGACAGUGGUGAAAUGUGGUCACUGGCCAAAAAGUCAGGUACAGAGAGCAGAGAAAGAAGCAAGACAGAAUGGCUUGUCCAGCGUGGUCUCUGCAGCUCACUGUGCUGGCCUAUGAGCUCAGAGUUGGCUGUACAAAACAGACAGAGGGCCAGGUUUGGCCCAUGGAGUGGUUUGCUGGCCCUUGCUCUACAAUCAACAAAACAAUAAAUCAAGCCCUGGUUUGUAAUGUUUGCCAAUCUCUGUAGAGCAAAUACUACCACCGUAGCCAACCUCAAGCUACCAACAUGCCAUCACUGGAUGUUAGGUUGGGAAGUCAUGCAGAAGCCCACUCUUAGGUAGCGUUGUCACCACAAUGAUACAUGGGGCAUCACCUGAAGAGCAUUGCUAAGAGUAUGAUGCAGUAAUGUAAUUAGGAAGUGGUAAUUUUUGAUAUUUAUUACCUUUGUUUUCAACAUGACUUAUCUACUUGUAAGAUUAUAUAAUUUAAUAUCUUGUAAAAAUCUCUACAAUUUUAAGUAUGUUUGCUUACAGGGGGUUGCCAAUGCCCUUGGUCCAUCUGACUACACUAACCAUAUGGAAGGGGAGAGAGAAAAGCCAACUCCAGAGAGAGAUCUGUGAAUCAGCUCUGGACAUAGGAGUGUUAACCUCUUCCACUCUUCCUACCAAAGAUUUCAUAUUCUAGACUAUGUCCUACUGUGUUCUUAGUCUAACAAGAGUUAAAUUUUCUCUUCCUUGGAAUGGAAGAAGAGGGGCUUUUGAGCACCCCCUAGUGCUUAAAGUGUGUGGAUAACAUGAAAUGCAUAUCAUAUUCCUUUGUGUUCCACUCCACUCCUACUAAGUGCUGUUGGUUGUGUGUCCACUAUGUGCCAGAUACUCUUGGAAAUAUUCUACAUUACUCUUACCUAAUCUUUACAAAAAGCUUUUAAGUAAGCACUGUUGUCUAAAUUUUAUAGAAAACUGAGGCUCAGAAAGGUUAGGCAACUAAUCCAGGGGUGCACAGUUAGGACACAUCAGAGUUAGCAUUCAAAUCUCAAAUCUGGCUUCCUGUCAACCUUUGUGUUGGCUUUUAUGCCACUUCCUUUUUUUAAAAUUUUUCUUUAGCAAAGACAUUUAUUGGAAAGGAAAGGUAAGAAGCUGUCAUGAAUGUAACUAGGAAGGGAGAUAGAGAUCCACUACUUUCUUGUACUAAUGGUUUUUUUUAAAACAUAAUUUUUCAUUUGUAUAAACUGAACAAAUUUCAUGUAUUUCAUAUAUAUAGAUUUAGGAGUAUAGUAAUGCUUCCCACCCUACCCUCUCCCCCACAUUCUCACUCUUCCUUCUACUUCCUUCCUCAUUCUUUGUUUUAAUUUUUACAAUGGCAUACUUUCAGUUUAUUUUAUGAUCAUAAGCUUAACCCUCCACUAAAUUCAACAAAUAGUAAGAAUUCAAUAAAUAGUAAGAAGAAAAAAAAAACACUGUUCUUCAACAGUAGAGACAAGGGCUAUAAACAACAAUCAAAUCUCAAAAUAUCAAUUUCACUCCUACACAUUACAUUUUAGGUACUCUAUUAGUUACCACAGACCAGGGAAAACAUACGAUACUUGUCUUUUUGGGAUUGGCUUAUUUCACUAAGUAUAAUGGUUUCCAGUUGCAUCCAUUUUGUUGUAAAAGAAAGCAAUUCAUUCUUUUUUUAUGGCUGAAUAGUAUUCCAUAGUGCAUAUAUAUACUACAUUUUCUUUAUCCAGUCAUUGGUUGAUGGACAUCUGGAUUGAUUCCAUAUCUUAACUAUUGUGAGUUGAACUGCAACAAACAUGGAGGGAUAUAGAUAAUUCUUUCAAGUGCUGAUUUCAUUUAAUUUGGGUAAAUAUCCAGGAGUGGGAUGGCUGGGUUACAUGGUAGGUCUAUUUUAGGCUUUCUGAGGAAUCUCCAUUCUGUCUUCUACAGUGGCUAUACUAGUUUACAUUCCCACCAACAGUGGAUUAGGGAAUGUCUCCCCACUCCCCACUCCUCCACCCGCAUCCUUACCAGCAUUUGUUGUUUGUUGAUUUCUGUAUGAAAGCCAUUAUAACUGGGGUGAGGUGAAACCUCAUUGUGGUUUUGAUUUGCAUUUCCCUGAAGGCUAGUGAUGCUGAGCAUUUUUUCACAUGUCUGUUGGCCAUUUGAACUUCCUCUUCUGAAAAAUGCCUACUUAAGUCCUAUUGCUUAUCUGGAUUGUUUGUUUUGAUGUUGUUAAGUUUCUUGAGCUCUUUAUAUAAUGUGGAUAUUAAUUCUUUAUCAGUUGCAUAGUUUGCAAAUAUUUUCUUGCAUCCUGUUGGUUGCCUCUUUGUUGAGCAUUUCCUUCACAAUGUAGAAGUUUCUUAGCUUCAUAUAUUCCUAUUUAUCUAUUUUUGCUUUAUUACCUGUGCUUCUUGGCUUUUCCCCAUAGUCUUGCAGAAUUUCCCCAAUGUUCUCCUCUAGUAAUUUGAUGAUAUCAGGUUGCAGAUUUAGAUUACUGAUCCAUUUUGAGUUGAUUUUUGUAUAAGAUGUAAGGUAGUAGUCUUGUUUCAUAUUUCUGCAUGUGGAGACCCAAUUUUCCCACCACAAUUUAUUGAAGAACCUCUUUCUCUGAGGGUUGAUUUCAGCUCCUUUAUCAAAGAUUAGUUAUGUGUGGAUUGAUUUCUGGUGUUUCUAUUCCAUGUUUUAUGUCUUCUAUUUCUUUCUUUAAUGUUUUAUAAUUUUCAUCAUGGAGAGUUUUCACCUUCUUGGUUAAAUUUAUUAGGCCAUGUAUAUUCAAUGUUAUCAUUGAUAAGUAAUGACUUGGCCCUGCCAUUUUCCCAUAAAUAUUCCCAUUGUUUACUUUGGAUUUCCUUUGUACUUUUACUGGGAGAGUUUCUGCCUUCACCUUCUUUCAUAGUGAUAACCAUUUUUCUGUGUUUCUGUGUGUAGCACAUUCUUAAGCAUCUUUUGUAAGGCUGAACAAGUGACUAAUUCUUUCAAUUUCUGUUUGUUUUGGAAGGUCUUUAUUUUACCUUCAUUUAUAAAUUAAAACUUUGAUGGAUAUAGUAUUCUGGAUUGACAGUUCCUUUUUUAUUAAUUAAAAAAUUAAUUUAAAAAAUUAAUUAAUUUUUAAGGAAUGCAAAUUUCAUAAGUACAACUUUAGGAAUAUAGUUAUUCUUCCCACCAUACCCACCCUCCAACCCACACUCCGACCCCACUUCCUCCUCUCUCUCCCUUUGCCUGUCCCAUUCUCCAUUAAGAUUCAUUUUCAAUUAACUUUGUACACAGAAGACCAACUCUAUACUAAGUAAAGAUUUCAACAUUUUGCACAUAUGCACACACAGACAAACUGAGAAAAAGUUUUUUAGUUAACUCUCAUGAUAAAACUCAUUGAGGACAGAGGUUCUGCUUGGGGAUUAGUACAUGGUGACUCCUGUUGUUAAUUUAACAAUAAAUACUCUUAUGUAUGAAGUCAGUAACCACCCAAAGCUCUUGACAUGAGCUUCCUAGGCUAUGGAAGCCUUUUGAAUUCACAAAUUCUGGCAGUAUUUAGACAAGGCCAUAGCAAAGUGGAAGUUCUCUCCUCCCUUCUUUGAUGGCCACUUCUUUCCUAUGGGCUCUCACUCACAGAGAGCCUUCAUGUAGAACAUUUUUUUGCCACAAUGUCUUGGCUUUUCAUGCCUGAAAUGCUCUCACAGGCUUUUCAGCUGACCAGGAAACCUUAAGGGCUGAUUCUGAGGUCAGAGUGUUACUUAAAGCUAUUGUCAUUCUAUGAGUCUGCUGUGUGGACUGCUUUGCAUGUUAGACAUUCUCUCCUUCUUAAUUCUAUAUACUAUUAUUACUAGACACUUGAUCCUAUUUAUAUGAUCACUUUAACACUUAAUCCUACCUAUAUGUUCACUUUAACAUUUAAUAUAAUCACUUUAAUGCUAAAAAAUGGCAUUUUUACCAAUCAACUUAAUGGGAUUUGGGGCCCAGUGACAAGUUUUUAAACUUUACCCUUAGAAGUAAGUUCAUAGGUGUGUAUGCACAACUAUAGAGCUUUACAGUUAUAAGACUUCCUCCUCCCUUUCUUAUUCCCACUCUUGUUUUUUACUGAGAUCUAUUUCAAUAAACUUUAUACACAUAUGAUUAACUCUAUGUUAAGAGUUCAACAAAUAGUAUGAAGAAGAAGAAACAAAACUGUUCCUUAAUAGUUAAGACAAGCGCAGUGCAAGGCAUCCCUUCUCAAAGUGUCAAUUCACUUCUACAGAUUUCCUUUUAGGUGCUCUAUUAAUUAUCACAGAUAGGGAGAACAUAUGGUAUUUGUCCCUUUGGGACUAGCUUAUUUCACUAAGUAUGAUGUUUUCCAGAUUCAUCCAUUUUUGUUGCAAAUGACUGGAUUUCAUUUUUUUAACCAUUGUGUAGUAUUCCAUAGUGUACAUAUCCCAUAAUUUCUUUAUCCAGUCUUCGGUUGAUGGGUAUUUAGGUUGAUUCCAUGUCUUAGCUAUUUGAAUUGAGCUGCAAUAAACAUAGGAGACAGUUUCUUUCUUUAAGGACUUGGACUAUAUCUCUCCAUUUUCUCCUAGCCUGUAGCAUUUCUGAUGAAAAGUCUCCUGUUAGUCUAAUUGAGGUUCCUCUGAAAGUAAUCUGGCAUUUCUCUCAUGCACAUUUUAUAAUAUUUUCUUCGUGUUUUAUUAUUUAAAGUUUGACUAUAAUGUGUAAUGGUGAAGAUUUUUUCUUUUUUUGUUUUGAAGAUUUAUUUAUUUAUUUGAAAGUCAGAGUUACACAGAGAGAGGAGAGGCAGAGAGAGAGAGAGGUCUUCCAUCUGAUGGUUCACUCCCCACUUGGCCACAACAACCAGAGUUGUGCUGAUCUGAAGCCAGGAGCCAGGAGCCUCUUCCAGGUCUCCCACACAGGUACAGGGGCCCAAGGACCUGGGCCAUCCUCUACUGCUUUCCCAGGCCACAGCAGAGAGCUGGAUAAGAAGUGGAGCAGCUGGGUCUUGAACUAGCACCCUAUGGGAUGCCGGCACCCCAGGCCAGGGCAUUAACCCGCUGCACCACAGAGCCAGCCCUGAACUUUUUCUGAUCAUGUAUACUAAGAUUUCUAUGUGCUUCCUGUACUAGGAUGUCGCUUUCUUUCUCCAAAUUGUGAUAUUUUAUGCAUUAUUUUAUUGAAUAGGUCUUCUAAUCCAUUUUCUCUUCCCAUGCCUUCAGGUACUCCUAAGACAUAUAUGUUUGGUCAUUUUUAUAGUAUCCCAUAAAUCCCAAACACUAUUUUUAAUUUUUCUAAUUUUUUCCUCCUUGUUUUCAUCUGACUGUAAUAUUUCCAAGGAUUUGUCUUCUAGCUGGGAUAUUCUUUCUUAUGCCUCACUAAGUCUGUUGUUAAAGAUUUCCACUGUGUUUUCUAUUUGAUGUAUUGAAUUCUUCAUUUCUCCAAUAUUCCAGUUUGAUUUCUCUUCAAUAUCUAAAUCUAUCAGCAAAAUUUCUCAUCCAUAUCAUGUAUGGAUUUCUGUAUCUCAUAAAUUUUUUUAUCUAUGUUUAUGAGUAAUUUUAUGAUCAUUCUUUUGAGCUCAUUUUCAGGCAUUUCAUCAAUCUCUUCAUCUUCACAUUCUAAUAUUGAAGUGUAGUGUGUUCCUUUUAGGGAGUCAUGUUGCUUUCCUUGGUCUUAUUUCCUUUCCUUUCCUUUCCUUUCCUUUCCUUUCCUUUCCUCUCUCUUUCUCUUUUUAAGAUUUUAUUUAUUUGAGAGGUGGAGUUACAAACAGGGAGAGGGAGAGACAGAGAGAAAGGUCUUCCAUCUGCUGGUUCAGUCCCCAGAUGGCUGCAAUGACUGGAGCUUAGGCAAUCUGAAACCAGGAGCCAGGAAUUUCUUCCAGGUCUCCCAUGCAGUUGCAGGGGCCCAAGCACUUGGGCCAUCUUCUACUGCUUUCCCAGGCCAUUGCAGAGAGCUGGAUCAGAAGAGCAGCCGGGACAUGAACCAGCACCUAUAUGGGAUUCCAGUGCUGCAGGCAGAAACUUAGCCCACUAUGCCACAGUGCUGGGCUCUGAUUCUUCUGUUUCUGCAUUUAUGUUUAGGGAUUUUUGGAACCACUAGUUGGUUUUCUCCUCUGAUGGAUUUUAGCUUUGAAAUAUUCCUCUGUGGCUUAGUGGAGUGUCUGCUCCUUCAGUGGAUACCCAGAGGCAUGUGCUGGCUGGGGCAAAAACCCAGGGUGCCACCCAAGUUGGGCAUGAUAGAUGUCCUCUGUUGUCAGCAGGGAAGAGGGUUCGAUCAUGCCCAUUAGCAUAAUCACAGCCUCACCUCCUCUCUUCCAAGGUGAUCAAUGCCUGGCGUUAGCCCACAGAGGAUACAGUCCCCACUCAUGUAAGCACAUGAACCACACAAAGGAUCUGUGUGGUCUUCAGUGUGAGCAUGUAACCCUUGGCCAUGCUGCACCUCCGGCAGUCAGGGAGCUCUGAGCCUCUGAUGCCAGACAGAGUCAUUGCCCAGAAGCACAGUGAUUGCCCAUACAUUGUCGUGCAGUCACAGAAUCCUCACAGUCACAGCACACAAGGCUUCCAUAGUUAUGGGGUUCAGGGAUCCACUCUCAGCCCCAUGAGCCUGCCCUGUCCAUGGAGAGAGCCUGUGGGUGCUCCGUCUUGGCAGUCUGUGCCCUGGGGCAUGUGAUAGGUUGAAGGGAUGGGAGCAUCUCACAGUCCUAAGUGGGUGCCCAGCUCCCUGCCUACCCUCCCAGCCAGACUCGAAGUCAAUGGGAAAUGCAGAUUUUAUUUUCCCCUCUAGUAAAAUCCUCUGGUCCUGUGCAUGCGUAAGAGCCACCACAGCCUCUACUGGCAUCAAGAUGUGCCUUAUCCCCACCAGCUUCUGGAUGCCUUGUAAGGGGAUUGGGAGAAAGAAAUGCGCUUUUCCUUCACUGAAUUGGGAGGGUACCCUGCCCCCAGACUAGGACUCCAGGCCACAUUCAUAGUCAGUGUGGUCCACAGGUUCUUCCUCAGGCAAUACCACCAGUGGCAUGGGCUGCCAGAGUCUGCUCUCACCUUGCUCUCAGAAGCUGGUGUCUCCUCCAACCCCCAGCUGCGGGAGUCACGGGCAUGUCCCCACUCACUGCCAUGAGGCCACACUUUCCCUACUGCCCCAGUGGAGUUUCCUUUUUGUAGAAUUUCUGCUGCAAAUUUGCCUCUGACUCUCCACUUGGGAAUGCACUUCCUCCACUUUUCUUCCGCAAUCAUCCCCUGGUCAAAAUCAGCAGGACUUCUUAUGUAGCCAACUUGGAAUCCGCUCUCCUUUAAUUCUUUGGUUCCAGUCCACCACCAUCUCAGCAACACGGUGGAGACCCAUGUGGCAAACACCUUGGAAGCUCUGGCCCUACGCUUCCCCCUGUGCGUCUCGGUUAAGUGGACAGGGGCUCUGAAGAAUUCAUGCAUGAGAAAUAAAAGCCAUAAAAGGUCAGUUAAGAGAGCAGAUGAAGCUCUGACAUUUCCAAGAUUCAGGAAUAAGAUGGACAAGUGGACAGAUUUGGUAGGGCACAGGUGGGCCUUUGGCCUGUGGUGGCUGUGCUCUUAUCACCUUGCACACCCUGAUCUCCUAAUUCCGCUUCCAAGAUGAACUUACGGUCCAAUUCCUGCCAUUCCAGCUCACAGCGUAGGCAAGCUGGAACGUGUCCCUGAUGCCUUGGCCUGUCAUGUAGGAAUGCUUUCCAUGGCAGACUAAAGGGGGAGGAGAUAGCGUUUUCAGUCCCUAUUGCUGCUGUACCAAAUGAUCACAAACUUCAUGGCUUGAAACUAUGGUGCACAGAUUUUGGGGUGUCCUAUAUUAAACAGCGCCUGUGUAGACUGUUUCCCAUAUGGGAGUGCCAGCUUGACUCCUGGCUCUUCUGCUUCUGAUCCAGCUUCUUGCUAAUGUACAUGGGAAGGCAGUGGGUCUCAAGUACUUGAGACCCUUGCCACCUCAUAUGAGGUCCAGAUGGGGUUCCUAGAUCCUGACUUUAGCCAUGUUGUGGGCAUUUGGUAAGUGAACCAGUAGAUGCACGGUCCCCCCUGCCCUUCUUUCUCUCUUCCUCUCUCACUCUGUCUCCCCUUCUCUCUGUGUCACUCUGGUUUCCAAAUAGCUACUCUUAAGAAUAAAACCACAUAGAUGUGUUAUCUUUUAAUUCUAUAGGCCAGAAGUUUCCACAGGGCUAAAAUUAAGGUGUCAGCAAGGCUGUGUGCUUUCAUGGAAUCUUACGAGGAACACCCACUUUCUUGCCUUUUCCAGCUCCCAGAGACCACCUGCAUUCCUUGGCUCAUGGGUCCUUUUUUCCAUCCUCAAACUCAGCCUCACUGCAUCUUUCUAAACUUUUUCCAUAGUUACAGAUCCCUCUUACCAGCUGGGACAUAUCCACCUCACCCCCACCUUUAAGGACUCAUGAGAACAGAGUAUGCCCACCCAGACAAUCCAGAACAAUCUCUCCAUCUGCGAAGUCUCUUGCCAUAUAAGGUUUGCAGAUCCAUGCUUGAAUAUCUUCACAGUAGUGGUGGUGGUAGGGCAAUUUCCUUCAUAUCACAGGAAAUAAAAGCAAAGAAUAGAACAAUUGGUAAAGAUACUGAAGAUCAAAGUCAAGAACAUUAGUGUUCUAAGUCCAAAGGACUAGGAAUGAAAGAUAGAGCCAAGAAAUUUGGGCACUGGGUAGAUACAAGAAUAGAACAAAAGGUCAAGGUCAGAGCCCAAACCAGACAAAUAAUCUAAGAUAAUCGGAGGGCAGCAUGGAGGUAGGGAAUGGAGGGGAUCCUGUGUUUAAAGGACACUGGAUGGGCAAACCUUGUGUAAGAUUAGAAUCAGUGUAGACUUAAGGCUUGGCCAUUUCUGAUCACCACUUCAGUCAAUUUUGGCCAAGUUGUAUUGCCUUAAAGCAUCCCCAAAUCCUGACAUGUUCAUCAUGAAGUGGCAAUGAGGUUGGGGAGCUGUUGGGGUUGGAGAGGGAGUCUUUGAUUAUUGGAUUACUAAGGGACCCAGGUUGAUGGAACAGGCCCAUCUUAGAUAUUGCUCAUUACAGGGCCAGAGGGAAAGAGAGCUCUAAAUGGUCAUUCACUGGUAAUUAAAUGUGCUGGCCCAGAAGUGCCACCUUUUACUUAUAGAACUCAUUGCCCAGAGCUGGAAUUAGUUAUAAGGCUCCAGUUAAGCACAUGGAAACCAGGGAGUGCAAUCCUACUAUGAAUCCAGAAAAGGCUUUGGGGAGGACAGCAGUAUCUAAACAGCAGCACUGAUGGUUACUACAGCUUGAAAAACACACAGAUAACUAUGUGCAAAGGUAGAGAAAAUGCCAAACUCCACUUGAGAGGAAGAAGUAAGUGAAUUGGAUGUUGAAGGAAAGGGAGAAAAAAAAUAAGGGUCUCUGUGCCUUGGGAAGAAAGUAUGUGGAGGCAGAAAAAAAAAAAAAAAAAACCCAACCACCACCAACAAAACAGGAGACGGGAAUAGAGGGGUUGGGGCAGUGGUGGAACAGCAGGAGAUGAGUGGGAAUGUUAGCAGGGGCCAGGUGGUGCCAGACUUCUAAUGCACUCUCAGGAAUUUGGACUUGACUCUAUGAAUAAUGGGAGAGAGUACUUUAAGUUUUAGGUAGGGAUAAGACAUGAGCAAAUCUGCAUUGUGAAAAGAAAGCUACAGUUGCAAGAUUGAAGCAUAGACUGGAGGGGCCAACCUUGAGAGCAGAGAAGAUGAUGAGAACUUGACCUAGGACAUGGGCAAGGGAACAAAGAAGCAAGGCACUUCCUGGGAAGGACCAGGUUAUGGCACAGAGUUCUGAAAAGAAGAGAGGGCAAAUUGGCUGGUGAUUGCUCCUGUGUUUCCCCUCUCUCCCCCUCUUGUUGUUCUUUGUCUUUUUGAUCUUAUUUUUUUUCUGGAAUCUUUCCAGGUGUAAGUUCAACUCCAAAGAGAUGGGCAAAAUUAGAAUAAGUACCUAUGUGUACCCUCAUCAACCUCAAACUCUUUAUUCUUGGGCUCAACUGGCCCUGGUCUGUUCAGUUGGCAUUCCUUUUUUCACCUCUGAACCCUGCCUAGCUGAGGAAGGAGGUAGAUUAGAAUCUUCAGGGAGACUUAAACUGCACUCCCUGACCCAGCAUCUAGUGACUGGGCCCUCCCUGCUGGGGCCUGUGAGCACGUGACCAAACACUCAUCAUCUAUGUUUUCUCAGCCCUCAGACUGGCCCUCCAUCUUAAUUACAGCUUUAUGUGCAUCCCCUACCUUCAAAGGGCUGGGAUUCAGUCACCCAAGCCUGGAUUCAUGAUUGUCAUCGCCUGUCCCUCACUCCAGAGCACCAGUUCUCAAGGAUGGUCUGUGAGUCUCAGAAGUGGGCCCCUGAAGCUCCCUCUAAGGUGUCCCCAAACUCAAAAUUAUUUUUGCAACAAUACUCAGAUAUAAUUUGCCUUUCCCCAUUCUCAUUAACUCCCACAGUGACAUUUACCAGGGGGCUAUUAUAGUGAAAUAUGUUGCUAUGUGUAACUCAGUACAUCAGUAUGUUCCAAAUGACCAGUGCAAGAUAUUACAAAACAAUACAUGUGUGAAAGAGCCAUUCAAACAUAAUAUACAAAUAAUGUGAGUUUAAUAUUACUAGGUAUGAGAAGUUGAUAUACAUGCAUAUUCCAUAUUGCAACCCAUCUGUAAGAAGCUCCCUCAUAGGGGCUGACUUUGUGGCUCAGUGAGUUAGGUCACCACCUGCAAUGCUGGCAUCCCAUAUGAGUGCUGCUCUGUUUCCCAUCCAGCUCCUUGCUAAUGUGCCUAGGAAAGCAGCAGAGGGUGGCCCAAGUACUUGGACCCCUGCCCUCCACAUGGGAGGACUGGGUGGAGUUCCAGCCUCCUGUUUUCAGCCUGGCCCUGGUGGUUGUGGCCAUUUGGAGAAUGAACUGGUCGAUGGAAGGUCUCUCUCCCCUCUCUCUCAUUCUCUGUCUGUAUAUCUGCCUUUCAAAUAAAUAAAUAAAUAAACCUUUUUUUUUCCAAAGAAGCUAGGUAUAGUCGUAAUGACGAAUAACCACAGUUACCUGCGAUUUGCACACAGGUAAAACAAGGCCUUUCUUGUCACUGAAUUUUUUUGUUUGGGAAAAUUUAGCUUUUUUUUUUUUAAGUAAAAGUACAUUAUCCAUGUUAAUGGGUUUAUUAUUGCUUUUAAAUACAUUCACGACCAAACAUUUUUAAAAUUUUCAGUUUAAGUCCUAAUUAGUAAGUAUGGACAGAUAUAACCCCCAUAAACAAAACAUGGCAUUCUCAGUAAUGUUUCCAAGUGCUAAGGGGUCCCGACACCUGAAGCCUUGAGACGCACAGCUCCGGAGUCUCGGCAGCCAGUUGAAUUCCCGGCAACUGAGCCUGGCCUCGCCGACCAGAGCACUCCAUUCUGGGACGACAGCUGUGCAACCCGUGCCUCCUGAGACACUGCAAGUUCCUACCCCUGCUGCCGUGCAGAGCUGACCCCACACAUACUGACUCUGACCCCCAGCACUAGGGCACUAUGGGUAAAUGACUAUUUACCCUCUGAACCUCAUUUUCCGUGUUCAGACAAUGGGGAUUUAAUACCCAGGAGGCCAUUCUCCAGCCCCAGCUAGGAAACUGGCCCAGCUCCAUUUCUAGCUGGUGAGCUCAUUCUGUGCUUGGGACCCACUAUGUUUUGCCAUCAUAUGGCUGUCUUACAGCUAGAGAGAUGACACAUCUGACGUCCUUCAGAGCACCGGGAGUAACUUUCUUUGAAGAAACUGGAAUAUCCAGCCCUUUAGUUGUCUGCCGCUUUCCUGGCUGCCAGCACAGACUUAGACACUGGGCACUUGGGUGCUGAAUGAGAGUCCUGUGUGCGUUCAGUUAACCAUGGCUGAUGGCGCCCCCUGGCCUUCUAAACAAGGCCAGUCUUGAGGACAAGCCUGCGAGCUGGCGAUCACCCAUCAGAGCCACAAAGACACACAGGAAAGUGUACCCAGAGUGUCAGUCCCCUGAGAACAGAGGCUGUGUGGUCUUGGGUACCUCUGAGUCCCCAGUGUCCAGAAUGGAUCUUGGCAUCUAGUAGGUACUCAGUCUGUGCACCUUGUGUGAAUACAUGUAACACAUAAGCACGUAGAGACAAGAUGUGAAUACAGCACCCAUAUUCAGGUGAUGAGACUUCUACUCUUUUUUCUGUCUCUUUGGAUUCUCCAAUUUCUAUAAUAAGUAGGAAUUUGUUACAACGGCGGCAAGUGAAAUGCGCUUCUAAAAAGGGGUAGAGCUCAUAUUGUGACCUGACCACCUGCUCUCUGUGCAACCUGGGCUAAGUCUCUUUUCUCUGUUCAUAUUAUAGAUGAUGAUUCCCAUCAUCUAUGAUAGCAAUACCCAGUUCAUUUGGUUGCUAUGAGGAUUAAGUGAGACAAUGCCAGUUAAUGGCAAAGACUGGUGUUGCGGACAUAGAAAGGGCUCAGUCAAUAUCAAAUUGGUAUUUUGCUAUUUGCAUCCUAGUCAUGUUUUAACAUUUCAGACCUGACAUGAAAGGAAGAAGCAUCUAUGGGGUGGCAAAAGAUGUGGAUUGGAACAGGUUGACCUGCCACUUAGCAGCCAAGUGGCCUCAUGCAGGGUCACUGUCUUCCCUGAGCCGCUGUCCCUUCUGUCUCACAGAGACUUUUGUGUGCAGCAAAAUGACGUGAUGAUGUCAGGUGCUCUCCAGGUAUGAGUCAUUAUUUUUAUAACCUACGAAGUUAAAAAAAAAAAAAGUCGACUCUGGGGCCUUUCUCCUAUCCUGAAUGGGGUUACUGCUCUCCUCUGGCUUGCACAGAGAGUUCCUUGUCCCCAAAAGCCUCUGGGGCCUGGUCACGGGGCAGUGCCUGCAGCCAAGGGUGGCUUUUUUUUUUUUUUUUUUUUGCCACAGCCUGUGAGGCUCCUGCCUCCAGAUAACCCAGGUCCUCCCCUUCCCCUGCCCCAGAGCUUCCCACACAGCUGCGGCCUCAUUAUCCAGGGUGACUGUGAGCAGCUGAAAGGAGCUUAGCCAGGGGUAGGCUUUCAAGUGUUCAUAAUAAAGCUUCAAAGUUCACACCUUCAUUAAGACGGGAAGAGGCAGGUCCUCCCCCUCCUCCUGGGGCCAUUGUUUCCUCCCCAUCUGGCAGCAGAUUCAAAAGACAAGCAGGAUUGGUUUUCUUUGUCCAGACAGCUCUCCUAACCAGAAAGGCUAGACCUGUUUGUUAAGCAAACUUCUAUCCUGCAGCCCCUUCAGACCUGCUCUGAAGGUGUCACUGACACUAGGGAAUUGGGGCAUGGCUCAGGGCUGGAGGGGCUGGAGGGGCUCUCCCGGGGUCGCAGGCCCGGACUUGCUUUGUGGGGUCCCAAGGGGGUAGAGCUAGGACCAGGGGUUGGAAGUAAAGGGUAUUUGGUGUGUUGAGGUGCAGUGUGGUGAUGUGCACCUCGUUAGGAAGGCAUGUGAGAGCCGUGGCUCUCAAUCAGGAAGCCACAGAAGAAGGUCCAGCUUUGGAUGGCGGGUUAGAACCAGCAGAUGGUUCAGGCCUCGCCAGCCCUGCCGUGCUGGGGCCUCUGGACCCCGUGAGCUGGGCUCCUGCAGGAUCGGCCACCUCCCAGGUUUUCCCUGACAACUGCUUUUGUUGCCGCCCCCCCCCCCCCUCCACCCAGCCGUGACUGUCUCCAUGGAUGCGUGUUUGGCCCCCUCACCCUUUGUGUUUUCCUUUUAGCCGGUUGAGAGCAGAGCUAUCAAGACAUCUUGGAGCCUCCUUUGUUCCUGAGAAAGUGUUUGCUUACCUUCACCCAAGGGCAGGUUCUGGGGGCCCCAUUUCCCUGCACUGCACGCACUGGGACCAGGCAGAACGCUGAUCUGAUCACAGCCAAAACUGUGAGUGGGUUUCCAUAGCUAGGAAACUAAGAGACUGGUGCCUGUCCAGGAGUAGCCUCAGAGAGAGCUCUCCGUCCUCCUGUCCAAGGAUAAGGAGGAAUUUUUGUUGAAGGACACGCCCUUCAGGGAGUCCUCUUGGUUUAAUGAUGACCAAUAAAGCAAGAUUUAAAAUGUCAAUGAAAAAUUUUAUUAUUUGAGAGGCAAAGAGACAGAAAGACAGACAGACACACACACACACAGAGAGAAUUUCACCAGUGUCUGUAAAGGCCCUGGCUGGUCUAGGGCUGGAGUCAGGAGUUGGGAGUAUAAUCCAGCUCCACCAGGUUGGUGGUAGAAACCUGAUUCCUUGAGCCAUCCCUGCUGCCUCCCAUGGUUUGCGCUGGCAGGAAGCUGGAGUCAGGAACCAGGGGCUGACCCAGGCAUUCUGAUGUGGGUUGUGGUCAUCCUAACUAUUAAAUGCUGAUUCCAGGAGGGUGGUCUUUAGGUGAGACAAGGGACGGCUCAGAUGAGUGACUGUAGAUGAACAAGUUUCAUGGACACAAUGCUUUUCUUUCUAUUGAAUGGAGACAGGAGAGUGAAAAGGAAACUCCACAUGUAUUGGAAAGACAGGGGGGUUUGUACACAGUCCUGGGUUCGAGUGUCGGCUCUGCCACAUACCAGCCGGGGGACUUCUGACAUUGCCCAGCAAAUACCUUCAAAUACCAUUGAGCUACAAUAGUCUCCAUUUCUGCAAAGUGGUUCUGAGGUUGAACAUGAGACCCAUGGGAAGUCCAGAGUCCUUUAUUUAA